UUUCAUCCUGGCUGUAUUAUUGUAAACUUUUGCCAGGCAAUUAUAUUUAUCCAUCCUUCCCAACAAAAUGUUUGCAAGUUCUCUUCACAGUUUAGUCAGACAAAACAAUCCUUUUCCAGCCCAAGUGCCGAGGACAGUUGUUAUAGCCUCAGGCCCAAAAAGUCCAAACAGUGAAUGGAGAAGAGCAAUUUGGGAGGAUGGGGCUUCAUAACCUGCAGCUCUUAUUGACAACUAACCCCAAUAUGUAAAAGGACCAAAACCUAUAAAAGUGUGAAAACUCAUGACCGAUCAUCCAUCCUGGGUGCAUCUUGGGUCCAUCUCGGGCAGAGCCCCAUCCAGGCUCUUGUGCUGCCCAAGGUGUGUCCUUUGAAGGCUUUUCAAUAAAUACCUCCUCUAACUCUGUUCUAGGUACCCUCUCCAGGCAUCACAGGUGUCUGGAAAAUUUUAGCUUACCCAUUCUGUUGCUAUUAACAUACUGUCUGAAAAGCUUUCAACUGAGCACAGCUAGUACUGGCUGAUGCAAUGCCAGAGUAUAGCCCAAGGAUUUAAGGCAUCAACAGGGGGAUCAGUUCUAGUGAUCAGUCUGUACGGAGCUACCUUGUUUCUGAAGGGACAGCGUAAUUGUAUGAUUCAUGACUUGCUGAGUGAUAUGGAUUAUCAAUAACCUCCUUGAAAUGCACUUCUGUGGGUGUGAAAUCAGUUUGUAAAAAUGAAGAGGAAAUAGUAUAAUUGGAUUUAAAAGAGCUGGGAAAGUGAAUUUGAAAUGUUUUAUAUCAAAAUUAAUCACAUUUUUCACCUUAGUUGCACUCAGAAUAUAAUGAGAGACUGUGUGGGUAAUUUCUCCUCCAUAUGAAAUAUGAUUUACAAGGAUAUGUGCAAACUACAGCACUUAAAUCUCACUUAUGGCCCAGCAGGACACCACUGUUUAGAAGACAAUAAACAAUAUUAAUAGUAAAGAAUUCGGGAGCAAGAAUGCUUUUGAAUGAAGACAUGCUGAAUGAGUAUACAAAGAAAAGGGGCUCCAGAAGAGUUAUACAGAAAUUCAAGAUAGCAAGUAUCAAAAAAAAAAAAAAAAAGAAAACAAAAGAAAUAGGCGUGACUACAUGGAAAUAAUUUCUGGCAAAGAAUAAAAGGGAGUAUUUCAAGCCACAUAAAUGCUAGCUCCAAACACAAAACUAAAUCUAGAAAGAUUCCUACAUCCACUCAAUCUUGCUUUAAGCAUCAGGAUUGACUGUAGAAAAUGAAAAACUGCAGUAAUAGAACUUAAUGAAAAUUCAGGAGUUCUCAUCUCUGAGGGAGUCUUCCCUUGCUUCACAGUGAUGCUACACAAAAACACAUGGGAAAGCUGAGACAAGGAAAACUGACAUAAAAUUAAAUUUACUGAUUUUCAAUGUCUGAAGGUUAUGGGAAAGCUCAGUGGGGGUUUUUCCUGUACGUGGUUGAUAAUAGAAGCCAGUUCCAUUCUGCUUCAGCUACCUACUUUUGUUAGCUGGAAGAAGGCCCAUAGUUGUUGCCCCCGAAAAAUUUCCACUGCAGAAGGAAAGUCCUCCAUUUUUAAGUUAUUUGACAUAAGCCUCUGAUGGGGGAUAAGAGGAUGGAAAGACUCUGCUGUCACAAAAUCAGAAACAAUCUCUUUUAUUUCUUUCUGAAACUGUAGGAUAUUGAGGAUAAAUAUGUCUGUGAACACCAUAGAGAAAGUUCCCAUCUCUCAGGGAUUCUUGCCUAGACACCCAGUGAUGCUACAAAAAAACACACGGCAAAGCUGAGGCAGUGAAAACAGAAAUCAAAUUCUCAAACUAGCAGGGUACUGGGGAUUAGUAUGUGAACACUGGUGGCUGAAAGUUCUCAGUAACUGAAUCCUGUAAAGCCAGCCACCUAUGUGUGUGUCUUAAUACAAACAAGUUGCUAGAAACAAGAAAGCUCAUCAGAAUCAUAAAAUCAUUUAAAAGUAUUAGUUGCAAGAGACCUUGAAGAUCAUCUGGUUUUAACCUCUGCCAUGAACAGGGAUAUCCUCCACUUAGAUCACUAUGGUCAAAGUCCUGUCCAACCUGAGUUUGAACACUUCCAGGAAUGGGGCAUGUACAACUUCUCUGGGCAACGUUUUACAGUGUCUCACUAUUUUCCUCAUAAAAAAUUUCUUCCUUCUAUCUAAUCUAAGCCUAUUAUCAUUUUGUUUAAAACCAUUCCCCUUGUCUUAUCACUGCAGGCUUUAGUUAAACCUCUACCUUCAGAGACCCCUUUAAGUAUUGACAUACCACAGUAAGGUCUUCUAUGAAUGCUCCAAAAAUGGAUUACACCCCUGAGCACUUAACAUUGAUUACUACCAUGAAAACAAAUUAUUUUCACCAUGCUGACAUGGCUUUUUCCUUGAUAAUGGCUUUUGUUUUUUUAAAUCUUGAGUUAUGUUAAACAAGUCUGUAACUCAAAAUUUCUCCAGUAUCCCAUUAAAUGUGCUGUAAGCAUAGCUACAUAGUUUCAAAAACCCAGUAUUCACAAGCAUGAUUAUCUCAAAUUAUCCAAAAAACCAUGAGAAGAAUAAAAUGAGGAAAAAAAUGUGGUCAGGGAAGGAAAAAGGUGUCUUUGGUAUUGAUUAUAAUAUUUUGACGUACAUCUUUACAUUUCUAAAGUAUAAAUUUAAUGGGAAAUUUCAGACUUCAUAAAAGGGCAAAUGUUUAUGCUUUAAUAUCAAGUCAAAUGCUUUUAAAAGUCUAAUGAGAAUUUCACUUCUUUAUGUCAAACCAGAAAUGGGAGAUAAAGUAAAUGUAGCGGGUAAGGGCUUUCCAGGCUAAAUGACCAUAUUUUGUCCAAAAUUUUUAAAUUUCUUUCUAAAAUAGAUUUUUUUUUAAUAUAAUAUCAGCAAAACCCACAUUGGAAGAACUCCUAAAGUUACAGAAUUGGUGACAUUUCCAUGAGAACAUCUGGCAGGUUUGACAGUUAAAUGACACAUGAUGUAAACAGAAAAAUAGUGCAAACCCCUAUUGAAAAAUUAUUUUUCUUCAGUUUGAGUCUGUAAGACCUUUAAAUGCCUGGCUGUAAGUUUUCUCUUACUGAAUAUGUUAACAUGAUUGACAGUAAAGGAAAUAUAUGUGUGGAACCUUUGAACAAAAAAAAAAAAAAAACAAAACAAAGACCACAAAACAGAAAAUACAAUUUAAUUCACUUCAAAAACAUACAUAUAUGUAUGUGGAAAUAUAUAUGUAUGCUUAUAUGUAUGCAUGCACUUAUAUAUGUGUUAAAGAAAGUAUCUUUCAGAUAUCUCUUUGAUAAUGUACCUCAUCAUUAGCUAUGGGAAUGUGGCAGAUUUCAAUUAAGAUUUAAACAUUUUUUACUUAAUCUUCUACUAAAUUCUAAAAAUAUGUUUAUUAUCUAUCCAGAUUGUAUGCAGUUAAGUCAUUUGAAAAAAAAAACAAACAUGUAUAUAUAUUAAUCUAUAUAAAUAAAAUCUAAAACAAAAUUUAAAACCCCUCAUAACACAUAGAUGCAUGGGAUUUUUUAAAUGCAUGCAUUUCUUAAAAGAUUGAUCUACCCUGUGUGUUGUUUUUAAUAAAGAAGUCUCUAAAAAUAUACAUGUUAACACAUGAUUUUAAUAGCUUUGUGGUCUCAGUUCUUUAUAAAUUGUUCUUAUAAAUGUCUAGAAAGAAAAAUAUAUCACUGAUUGCUGAACACUUUUUACCAUAUUGUUUUCUUUUACAGAUUUCUUUUGUUAAAAAUUAGGUCAAUAGUCAAUCUGUCAACAAUUUUACAGCAUGUUAUGAAAUAUUAAAUAUUAUUUAGAUUAAUUUCCUUUAUUAAUUUUUAAGAAAUAUUUACAAAAGGUUUUCUAUUUUCCUUAAGAAAAACAGCAUUAGGUCUUGAGGCUUGAUAUGGUAAAAAAAAUAGAAGCAAUGUGACUUUGAACUUUUUUACAGUGAUUGGGAAGAACAGAAUAUGAACUAUGACUCAGCCCAAAGAUUCUAUUUCCAGCCCAGUGAAUUGCAAUGAUUUAAAAGUUAUUAUUGGGUCAUAUUUUGGCCAAGCUCUUCCAGUACUAUAUUUUAAAGUAUCUUCAUAAAUGCUUUGGAUUAUUUAGAGAGCCAGGAAAUGGAAUUUUUGAUAUUAUGAAAAAAAUAGGUGUAAUACAUAGAGUUUGACAAAAAUGUUACAUAUCAAAUUAUAUAUCUGCACAAUUUUUCUACAUCCCUAUAGCCAUAAAUGACCUCUAUGUAAAAAUAGAAACAUAGUUCAAUUUGCAAAUAUAACUCAUUCAUUAACCUAUAAUAUCAGACCAAAUCCAGUAUAAUUUAAAUGAGUAGGUUGUUAUUUCAUUGCCCCCUGAAAAUCUGAAUGAAUAUUGUGCCUGAUUUGAUAUUCUUAUUAAAAUGAUACCUUUUUUUUUUUUAGAAAAUCUGCCUUUCAAAAGAAAAAUUAGUCCUAAAAAGCUGUAAAAACUUCAGCUUCCUGAGUUUUAUAUAUUAGCAUUUUAUCCUCUGAUUUGUAUUUUUAUAGUAACUAAUUAACAGGUGAAUGUCUUCUAAAACCUUACGUUUCAAAAUGUAAUUUUCUAUUACUGGUGGGUAACAAAUGAAAAUGAAGCAUGGUUACACUCCAAAACAAAGAGACAGAUAAGAAGCGCAUACUUGAUUUUGUGUGAGAGAAUGCUCCUCAUUUAAUGACCUCAUUUGUUCCCUUUCACAUAUUGGGUUUUUUAAUGUGAGAUCAUAGACACCAUUUCAUGUGCAGGAAUACCACCAUUAUUCUUCCUUGUAGUCAAUGCUUCUUCCUUUCCACACUUAUGCUUUCUGUACUCACCCUUCUCCUUCUUUCUGCCUCUCCCCUGUGGGAUCUCAGUAAUGAAAAGUGUAUAUGAAGGAAUAGGCAAUAAAUUCAAAUGAUCUCUUGAUUGUAAGUUUCAAAUGGUCAGCAAUGCCAGUCCUCAGAAAGCCAGCCUCCAGCCUUUUCUACUGGAAGGACAUGAGACCUAUGUUACAGGUAACUUCUCUGACUCUUGUCUGGAUAUGGCACAUGGAAGAAAACAGAAAACAAAUGUUGAAAACACAACGAAAGAUAGUAUAUUGAAAGGGCCCAUAUAUUUUCUCCCACAUAGUUAUUUCCCACAUCAUUCGUAAAUGUAUAUCAAUGAGAAUUGGUGCCCCUCGGGGAUUCGUGUAAUGAUGGAACAAUUGUUAUUUAAUAUCUUCAUUAAUGACAUAUUAUAAAGGGAUCAAGUGCUCCCUCAAAAAAUAUGCAAUGACUCCAAGCUGAGUGGUGCAUUUGGCACAAGCAAAGGAUGGAACAUCAUCCAGAGGGACCUGGACAAGCUCCAGAAGUGGGCCCACGGUAAUCUCAAAAGGUUUAGCACCAGCAAGUGCAAGGUUCUGCACUUGGAUCAGAGAAUGGUGUCAGUAUAGGCUGGGGUAUGAACAGAUCCAGAGCAGCUCUGCCAAGAAGAUCUUGCGGGUACUGAUGGAUGAGUGGCUGGACAUGACCUGGCAACACCCCCAAAAGCCAAACUUAUCCUGGGCUGCACCAAAGUAGCGUGGCCAUCAGGGUGAGGAAGGGGAUUUUGCCCCUCUGCUCUGCCCUUCUGAGAUACCACCUUCAGAGCUGCGUCCAGUUCUGGGGUCCCCAGAACACAGACCUGUAUUAUCAAAUGCAGAUGAGGCUCAGCAAAACAAUAAAAGGGAUGGAGUUUAUUACUUUUCCUGUGAGGAAAGGCUGAUAGAAUUAGGUUUGUUCAGCUUGGAAAAGGAAGACUUUGGGAUGACUAAACUGCAGCCUUUCAGUCCUAUAAGAAAACCUACAAAGAUCAUGUAGUGAAAAACUACAAAGAGCAUGUAGUGACAGGACAAGGGGGAAUGGAUUCAAACUGAAAGAGAAUAGGUUUAGAUUAGGUAUUAAAAAAUUAUUUUCUGUAAGGUUAGUGAGGAACUGGAAUAGGUUUCCUAGAGAAGUUGUGGAUAUCCCAUCCUUGGAAAUGUUCAAGUCCAGAUUGGAUGGAGCUCUGAGGAAGUUGAUCUAGUGGAAGGUGUUCCUGCCUCUGACAGGAGUUGUAACUAGGUCUCUUCCAACUCAGACAAUUCUAUGAUUCAAUGAUUCUAUUAUUAGUUCCUAUGGAGAAUUUUUUAAAAGAAAAAUCCUCUCUAGUCAAUAUUACUCAAAAUAGAGAUAUGUUACUUUCAGCAUAAUGAAGUGCUUCUUUUGGAGAAUGCCAAGAGGAUUUUUAAUAAUAACAUUAAUGGAGGAAGCUGAUUCAAUUUCCUUCUUAUCAAAUCAGACUACUAGUCUCAGACUGAAAUCUUACAAUUUUCUGAAGCUACAAGAAAUUCUCUGUAUACAUUAGUAAAACUGCAAAAUGAAUAUAUUUCUAUUCAUCUGUUUUUGCAACUAAUCCACCCUGUCCCACUAGUUCUUAAAAAAAAAAAAGAACCAAAAAAGGAUAAAGAACAACAGCUGUAUGAUGGUGAGAUUACAGAGAAUUAAGGUGAGGGAGAAUGGAAUGACCCAAAAAAGCAGUAAGGAGAACCUUGGCUCUGACCCUCUUCCUUCUCUGACAGAAAAAAAAUCCUGUAGGAUUCCUCUGGGACACUAACAAUCCAGAAUGAUUUCUACCUUUAUUCAUGCAGGUGUCUGUGAGCAGAGUACUCACUAUGCUUGGAAAACAUAUUUUAAAUGGCCUGAAAAUCAGUGUCUAGUCACAUUUUCCUAUUGAUACAGGCUCUUUUUUUUUAUGAUACUUUUUGAUUUUCUUCCUGUGGAACUGAAAUGAAUUUAAAUUUUUUUUUUGCAUCAAACAUAGAAAACAACUAAGGAAUUGAAGACUAAGUAUGAAGAAACUACUCACUGGGUAUAAAAUAUUCUCAUCUUUAAGAAAGCAUGGAUCUUUGGCAUUAAGGAAAGCUUUGCAGCAGGUCAUAUAUCUCAGUAUUCUAUGGAGUUUUGUAAAGCUUGUACCAGGAAAGUCAUAAGGACUCCUUUUAUACAGGUCUGAAGUCCUUGGAACUAAGAAAAACAAUAUCAUAAUUCAGAAAUAUAUAGAAAUAUGCCUUUCAUCCUGCCUGUUCGUUUUGGAGUGAUAUGUUAAGCAAUGCUCCACUUUCCUCAAACAUACUGUUGAUAUGUUAUUUAAUUAUAAUAGUUAAGAACUUAUUUUUCAAGCCUGAUUGCAAAAAAAAAAAAAAAAUUAAAAAUUUUCUUAUUUUAUAGAAAGAAGAAUCAAAGUGAAUGAAGAGUGGAAAUUUUAUUAUGGAAUAAAAAAUACCUUUACAUAGACUAGAUUAGAUGGGACUGUAAAGAAUGACAGAAGAUGAGCUAGUAAAAGGGGGAUAUGGAUGUUUGAGAAUGCACACAAAACUGCUGGUUUAUUUUCAUUUUUCUAUUUGAACCAAAGAUAUUAUGAAGUAUACUAUAUGAAUUGGAAUUUAUUGAGCUAUUUAGUUGAGGUUUUUAAUUAUAUUUUCCUUCAUGCAAAUUUAUUCCUAGAUUUUAAUCAAUAAUUUGCAUAUCAGGACUUGAAUUUCAUUAAAGCAUAGCCAAUGCCAAAAUUGCUUUUGCUAUUCUAAAUUUUUAGUCUUUUCCUCUCUCAUUGAAUGCUACCAUGUUUAUGGAAUUUUUGCCUCAUAUUCCUAGAUAGAGAAAUUCAGUUCUUGCAAUUGUUUCUAGGCUUUUCAACUUUAUUUCCUUUAUCUUAAUAUUUUACUCUGGCAAAUUGCAUCGGGUUUUUUCUUUGGUUUUUUUUUUUUCUCCCUAGCUCUGUCUUUCUAAAUAUUUUCAUGAAGAAUUUUUCAGCAAUUUUAAUUAAUAGUAAAAGAAUUUUUUCUGCGUGUGGAUGUUUCAAGCUUAACAUUAAAAUAAAGUUUUAUGUUUAAAAUAAGUUCUCUGUCAACUCCCAUAACACAAGGUGAUUCCCCCUCGCCCCCCGAGAUUUAAUUUUUCUUUCAAAUUCUGUUGCUUUAACUUUUUUUUUCUCUUACAGAUUCUCUAGUGGUCUUCCUUUUGUAGUCACUCAGUUGGACCUACUUUUAGCUGAUUUGUACUACAAUAUAUCCUAGUAUUACUGACUCCAAAAAUUUCUGUUAUGAAUCUAUCUCUAGUCCAAUACCUAUAAAUGUUACAUGGAAAUAUAGUGACAAAGGAUGAAAAAAAGGCUGAAAUACUUAUCUUCUCCUUUGCACCAGCCUUUAAUAGUAAGAGCAGUUGUUCUCUGGGUUCUGGUUAGAAGAGAGGGACAGGGAACAGAAUAAAGCCCGCAUAAUCCAAAGGAAAAUAGUCAGUGCAGCCAGUUUUCUGAAGACACCAAGGUAGGUGGGAGCAUUGAUCUUCCGGAGGGCAGGAAGGCUCUGUAGAGGGAUCUGGACAGACUGGAUUGAUGAGCCAAGGCCAAAAAAAAGAGGUUGAACAAGGUCAAGUGCCAGGUUCAGCACUUGGUUACAACAACGCCCUCCAGUGCUGCAGGCUGGGGACAGAGCGUCUAGAAAGUUGCCUGGUGGAAAAGGAGCUGGUGUUGUUGGUCAACAGCCUGCUGAACAUGAUCCAGAGUGUGUCCACAUGACCAAGAAGGAAAAUGGUAUCCUAGCCGGUAUCAAAAAAGUGUGGCCAGCAGGACUGGGGAAGUUCCUGUCCCUCUGAACUUGGCAUUGGUGAGGCCACACCUUAAAUCUUGUCUUCAGUUCCAGGCCCCUCACUACCAGAAGGACAUUGAGGUUCUAGAGUGUGUUCAGAGAAAAGCAACAAUGCUGGUGAAGGGUCUAGAGAGCAAGUUCUAUGAGGAGUGGCUGAGGAAUCUGGGGUUGUUUAGCAUCUCAGGGAAGACCUUAUCACCCUCUCCUAUAGAUAACCUGAGAGAAGGCUGUAGCGAGCUGAGGAUCAAUCUUGUCUCCCAAGUAAUAAGCAACAGGACAGGAGGUAACGGCUUCAAGUUGUACCAGGGCUUUGGAUAUUAGGAAGAAUUUCUUCACUGAAAGGGUUGUCACAGGCUUCCCAAGGAAGUGAUUGAGACAUCAUCCCUGUAGGUAUUUAAAAGACAUGUACACAUGGACUUUAGCAAUGUAGUUUAUUGGUGGACUUGAUGCUGCUGGGUUAAUGGUCGAACUUCAUGAUCUUGAAAGUCUUUCUGACCUAAAUGAUUCUAUGAUUCUAUAAGCUUGACGAUUUGUUAGUACAAUAGCUAUGAAUGUUAUUAGCCUAGAGUAGUAAUAGGAAAAUGUUAAAAUCUUCUAGCCUAAUGUAAUAUGUCAUAAAAAGUAGCUAGAAAGAACAGGAGAAAUAUAUUGACUUCUGUGUAAAGAUUAAAAGAACUAGUUUUAACAGGUAGAUCAUGACAAAGUAGGUCAUGAAAUUCUACAAAUAUUUGAAGGCUGCUAUGAUGUAUAGGGACUGAUUGUUUUGUGCAAUAGUGGAAUAACAAAUAAAAAUUAAAAGACCAUUUGUUGUUAAUAUGUGGGAACACUUGGCAGUAGGGAGAUAUUGAGGUCUUAUGGAGACUUAUAAAGAUAGAUUUUGCAUGGAGUUAGAAAAUAUCCAGUAAGCAAAAAUCCAAAUGACCAGUCUAUGAAUCUUCUCUGUCUCUCUUUUGUAAUCCCCUGCAUUUCUAUUUCAUUAAUUGGGUAAGAUCUGAAAUACCCUUCCAAAGUCAAUUGUUGAGAUCACUAUAUGCCAAUACUUGAAAAUACCUGGGUAGACCUUAGAAUAAUCUGGUAUUCUGGCUGAUCAUAAUGCAUCUGUGUUGAUUGAAUCCUCAUCAUCCUUUCCUGCUUUUCUCUUUGUAUCCCAAAAGAAUUCUGUAAACUGUCAGGCAGAUAUGCAUAUUACUAGAAAUUUGAAAGACAACCAAGAGCUGAAGCAGUACAAAUUCCAAAGGAACACUCACGUGAAUCAGUAAUUGUUUAAUUCUCAUCUGGAUAUUAAAACAAUAUAUUAAGAAAGACCAAAACACAUGUGUGACACAGACAAAUAUGGGUCUUCGGCAUAUCUGGAGUGAAAAGCACCACUAAAUAAUUGCCUGUGAUGUAGUAAUCUCUUAUUUAUUUUAUUCUGAUUGUUUAUUGACAUAUCUCUUCUCUCCUAGUCACAAUGACAAAAGAGUCCAUUGCAGCAAAAAGGAGAACCUUUGAGAAAAAGUAUUUUCUCAAAUGCAAAUUAAAACUGAGGGAAGAAAUGGAAAAUUAAAAGGGCCUUAGUAGAUAUUCUCCAAUAUCAGAAAACUAUUAUAUACAACAACUAGAACUUUUGUCUUAAUUGGAGAAAACAUAGAUUUUUGUCAUUGUGGUAAUUUCUAAUUCAGUUGUCAGCUUCUUCUAUAUAAAAAAAAACCCAAACUGCUAAUGAUCUUCAAGAAUGAUAUAACAAUGUAUUCUAACAAAUCACUUCUUUAAUCUAUAGUUUCUAAAUCUCUGAUUUCUUCUAUUUAAAUCUAGUCUAUGCUAUUUUAUUGAUUUUAAUUUUUGUGUUCACUGGAGUUCUGGGUUUUUAUGGGUUUUUUGUUGCUUUUGUUUUUUUUUUGUUUAAAAACCAUAACAUUUUAACAUAUAUUUUAUUUAUAUUUCUCCAUAAAAUAAAGAUGCAUAGCUUAUGUUGUAUUCUUUUUAAGUCCUCCUAAUCUUUUGGUUCGGUUGUUUAUUUGUUUGCAUUAUAUUCUUUUACUAUGGGUUCAUCUAUGAGAGCAGAGAAUACUAUUGGUUUUCCUUAAGAUGCAGUUUCAAAAGUUAUCCUUACCCAUCCUGCAGAUGCUCACUAUAUUUUUGGGAACUUGCAACAAUUUUUUCUUCUGUUGGCUAAUCUUAAAUGUAAUAAAGUUGCAAUGCAUUUAAAUUAUGAUGCUAAGAGUCAUCCAAAAGGUUAAGAAAUCCCCAGACUUUGAAAUUAUGAAAACUUGUCUGGAUAACAUCUGACUGACCUGAUAUAUCAUUGAAGUCAGCAUUCUUUGAGCACAAAGUUGUACUAGGUGGACUUCAGACAUGCCUUCCAAUAUUUGAUAUGAUAUAUUUUGUAUUUUGUGAAAACAGCUGUCAGGGGGCUACAGAGAGUUGUUCUCACAUCAAAACUCAACCAAGUGUUUUGGGGGCCCAGACAAUGUCAAAGCUCAGAAAUCAGGCCAGGGUGCUGGGUUCUGAAGGCAGAGAGCAACCAGACAGGUCUGGUGUGUGUAGAAAGUUGUGGCUUAUCAACAAUUCUGAGGUGUCUUUAAAUAGCUGGUGAUGAACAUCUGAGUCAUUACAUAUAUACAAGGUUGAGGACUGACCCUCCAACUUCUCCAGAGCAAUAGAAAAGGUUAGUUAUGAUUCUUGUGUGAGACCUCAGCCAGAAGCUUCAGCACAUAUUUAAACUGCGGCCAGUAUUUAUCAGGUCUGUAUACACAUUUGUUAAUUUGUAAAUAACAGAAGUUGUUAGAAAACUGAAUCCAUUGUGGAAAGCCUGCUAAGAUGAAAUUGGAAAUGAUCCAUGCACCAUUUGGAAGGGUCUUUGUGUGUAGUUUCAAUUCUAGGAUAAAACUGUUAUCACCAUUGUUUCCAAUUAUGUGUCAAGUAUUUAUGAGGGUCCAAGUUUAUUUAUUGUUCUUAUUUGAGUUUAAAGGAAGCAGAUUUGGUUUGGUUUCGUUUGGUGAUUUUUUUUUAAAAAAUUAAAUAUUCUAGAAAAAUGAGAGUAUUCUAUCUCAGAGAUUUAAAUUUCUAGUGAUUUAGACUUCCACAUUCAGAUUUCUUGAUAUUUUUUUUUUAAGAAUUAAAAAUUAGAUCCAAAAAAAAGGAGGCCAUAGCACAUCUCAAUUUGCCAGUUUGUUUUGUUAAUAAUGCCUAUGAAAAUACUUUUAUUAAUAAAAAAUCCAACAUUAAUUGUUUCUACCACAUUCAAAAAACUCUAAGACUUCUCUCAGACUGUGGUACAAUGAAUGCAGAAUCAUGCAGAAAGACAUUAGCACAAAAAUUCAGGAUGGUAUUAGAUUAACAAACCUUAUUCUUUACUUGUAGGCAUGGAUGUUUAGCCAAAUACAAACUCAUACCCAUUUAGCUAGGUUAGCUAUGUUGUGUCUUGCUCUGUGUCAAUUCUGCUAUAAUUAAUUUUUAUUCCUUGUGAUUGAUGGCGUGUUGUGGAAAUCUCUCUCUCUCUCUCUCUCUCUCUCUCUCUCUCUCUUUAUAUAUAUAUAUGUAUAUAUAUGAAUAUAUAUAUGUAUAUAUAUAUGUAUAUGUGUAUAUAUAUAUAUGCAUAUGUAUAUAUAUAUAUAUAUAUAUAUAUAUAUAUAUGCAUAUGUUUUGUAGGUUAAUAUACCUGCAAUGCUGAAGGUCUGUCUGACAUGUAAUAGUGACUAAAUGCUGUUUAUACUACAUUAAUCAAUUACCAGAAAAAGAAAAAAAGAAUAAGCUUCUCACUGCUUCUGAUCAGGAAUUCACACUGGACCUGAUAAAUAAUGCUAACUAAAGGUCUUCCAGAGAAGUUACACCUUGACAAAGCUUCUUCCCUUCACCCCAAACCCUCUACCCACCUUAUAACAAUAGAAUUUUCUGAAGGAAAAAUUCAGCUGUUGCAGUACCUGUCAUAGGAGUAGAAAGCAAAUUAGAAAGCUUCUAGUAAAAGCUUAUCUGAAGAUUGUUUCCUUGUGCAUGCUUGAUUUGAAGAAUUCAUUCCUUCAUGUUGUUGUGGAAACCAGGCAAAAAGAAUUCGGGGAAGGGAGCAGGACAGUAGUAAUGAAAAGAUUUUCUACCUGUCAUGCAGAAAGAGAUACUGAACUGUACAAAGAUGAAGAACUUAGUAAACAUUUCUCACUAUUGAUGUUUUUAUUACUCAUUCAAACUUGCUUACAAAAUUCUACAAACUUUCCAUUUGUCCAUUUGCUUUUUCGGUGUUCUCAAUACCUAUGCAAAGCUUACAAGUCUUUAAAAUAUACACAUAUUUUAUUCUAUAUAUUAUGAAGAAAAAAAAGCAUUGAAUACUUUUUAUGUAGUCAUUUGUGAAAACACACAGUCAUCCCUGAAUGUUCCUUUCAAUCAAAACAGAAGGCAAGCAAAAUAUUUUUAUAUCCUGAUUCUUUCUCGUUUCAUGCGUUUCAACAAUUCACAAAUUUGUCUCACUAGUUUGUGCCUUCAUUUCCAAAUAUAAUCUUAAUACAGUUUUUAAAUGAAGGCAAACUACACUUAACAGCUCUGAAGCAAUACAUGCUGUGUAAACACAACUUGUGCACAGUUUUCAUUAAAAAUUCAAGGCUGAGUUGGCCAUCAUUAAAUUAUGUGGGGAAAAUAUCAGUAAAGUUAACAGGAGUUAGAUCAGGUUGCCUGCAAUUCACUGGCAGUUUAGUAGAAGAUAUUUCAUGAACUUCAAGUCUUUGAGGUUCUAAGAACUGUAUUAUCUUUCCCUUUUAGUUACAAUAUUUUUUAUUUACCAUAUUCUUAGAUCUGAUGCAAAUAAUGGAGUUAAAAUAUUUGGAACUACUCAAUCAGCUCUGUUAUAUAACCGAUGGAUCUUGCCUUGGUUGUCUUGCUUCUUGCUUUAAGAUUUAUGUAAUUUUAUUUUCAUAUAAUUAAUUCAUUUCAGCUAUGAAUCUAUCUUUGGCUAAAUUUCUCAUAUGCGGUUCUGAACACAGACUUCAGUGACAAUUCUGUAACCUUUUUAAUAUUUGAGCCUAUUAAUUCAUAACCUUAGUUUUUCUUGUUUAAGUCUUCUCCUUCACUGUAUAAUGAAUUCACGUAUAAACUCUACAUAGAGACAAAGAACAUUUAUUUGCUGAGGCUAGUGUUAUUAAAUAUAUUAACAUAUUUUAUUGUGGGAAGCAGUCAGUUCAUACUUACAUAGACAGAGUUCCAUGAUGUCAUAUGAAGAUCUUUUAAUGACAAUUCCAAACAGGACCCUUCAUAGAAGUGUAUGCUGACAUUUGGCCUGUAUCCCAGGAAACCAAAAGUCAGAGUACUGAUAGGGGAAAUAUAGAACUGGAUACAUCAAAUGCUUUUAUGUCUGUGUUCCUACUGUGAACAGUUGUUUGCUUUAUCUUAAUACAAAGACAGUAUUCAUUGAAAGGAGAUUGGCCAUUUGCUUUGUCAGCAUGUACUGAAACAGAAAAAAAUCUAUUUUUUUUUCCUUAGGCUAAAGCUACUUAACAGUUAUCAUUACCAGAUAUAAAGUACUCUAAUUUUCUAACUAAUACCAAUAUUUGAGGAAACAGCAACACUGAAACAUGCGUCAAUAAGAGUUUCUUGCCAGAGUUACCCAAGAACCACUGCAAUGCCUAACUUAAAUGGGCUGUCUUAAAUGGGGCAAAAAUCAUGCCUUACACUACAACCUAACUUUGAAAGUUAAAAUAUUUCUCCACUUAGUCAAUAUGAUUUUGGUAGACAGAAUAUCUUGUCUGGGCUUGUUUUUUUUUUUUUUCUAUUUUGUGGUGACAAUGAAUUUUCCAGUGACGAUGAAUUGUCUAUUCUAUAACCAAUUUCACUAAAUGCAUAUGCAUGUGUGUAUAUAUAUAUAUAUGUAUGCACACACAUGUACAUGCCAGAGUACUGAUUUAUUAUGCAUUUUUGUUUCUUGGGUAUUACAUCAAGUUUGCAAAUAGAAAAUACAGUAAAGAUGCAUGUUUCUUUUAAAGGCUGGGAUAAUCACAUGGGAGGAGAUUCUGCCACCUCUUUCCAGAUCUGCAUAGAUAUUUUAUAAUACCUAGUCAUGGGAGAUGGAUCAGAUGGGAGGACUGAUUUAAGUUUCUUUUCUGAAUAUUACAAAGUUCAAUGAUUAAAUUAGACACUAAGUUUUUUCUAGGUUUGGUGGUGAAAGGACCUUCAUUAAAAUUUAAUCCAAAGAUAAUUGCGUGUUCUGAGUUUGUGUAGAAAUGUAUCAGGGGAAAGCUACAGGAGUGGCUUUUGUGAAAAGCUGCUAGAAACUUCCCCUACAUCUGAUAGAGCCAAUGACAGCUAGCUUCAAGAUUAGUUUGCCACUGGCCAAGACUGAGUCCAUCAGAGACAGUGGUGGUGUCUCUAGGACAAUACAAUUAGGAAGAGGGGAAAAAACCCAAAAUAAGUAGGCAACUGCAGUUAUAAAGAGGAGCACAAAGUUGAAUGUAUUAAUAUAUGUUCAGGUGAGAAUACCCACAUACUUCCCCUGAGGAUAAGAAUUUUACACUGUUAUGCAACACCGUGCAUCUUGCACAGUCCUUCAGUGGAAGGCCCCAGAAAUUUAUCUGAUUUAUGACACCUUGUAGGAUAUGACCACCAUCCCCACAGCCUAGCUGAAUCAGAAGGCAUUAACAUCUUCACACUAACAUGUGAAUGUCCUGAUACAUUCCCCGGGGGAAGGGGGAGUUUUAUACCUGAGCCAAUACUAAGGGAUAGUAAAAAGCAUUAUGCCACCUCUGCAGGAUCUGCUUCUUCUCAACCUUGUCAUCCAUCUGACUCAAAACCCAGCUUGCUGCUAAACAAAGUUUAGUUUGUUGUGGUCAUCUUCUGGUGGUGAGUGUGCAGCUUUUCUGCAUUAGGGCCACUCUUAUGCAGAUAGAGGUUUUGCUAUCAUACACCUAAGAACUCUCCUCCCCUCCUUUGGCUGGAGGGUACAAAUCUGGCCUAAGCAAAGCCCCUGCUGCUUUUUCAACUGGCCAAUUAAUUGAGACAUUAAUCUUUCAUAUUUCAGUCUCUAACACAUGGUGAGGCAGCUGUGCCCCUGCAGCUCAUGGAGGUCCACGCUGGAGUAGAGAUGCACCUGCAGCCCACAGAUGACCACACAUCAGAGCAGAUGGGUGUCUGGAGGAGGCUGUGACUGUGGGAAGGCUGCACUUUAGCAGGCUCUUGGCAGGACCUGUGGGCCCGUGGAGAGCAGACCUCGCACUGAAGCAGGUUUGUUGGAAGGACACACAACCACACAGGGGACCCAUGCUGGAGCAAUCUGUUCCUGAAGGACAGAGCCCUGUGGAAAGGUCCCAUGCUGGAGCAGUUUGUGAAGAACUGCAGCCCAUGGGAAGAACCCAAAUUGUAGAAGCUCAUGGAAGAUUAUCUCCUGUGAAAGAGAGAUACUACAGGGGAUCAGGGGAAGAGUGGGAGAAGUCCUCCCUCUAAAGAGGGGCAAAGACACCAUAUGAGGAACUGAUGCCAAGCCCAGUACCCCUGCAUUGCUGGGUAGCUAGGAGUUUGAGAAAAAAUUUGAGUGGAUUUAGGGCCAAGAACAAGGCAGGAGUGGGGGGGAAGGUGUUUUGACACUGACUAAAUGCCAGGCACACACAAAAGCAAAACUGGUGGUGAUUGUGUGCACAAUGGCAGGCAGCGAGCUGUUCAUGAGCCAGCAGUGCCCUUGUGGCCAAGAAGGCAAAUGUUAUCCUGGGGUGCAUUAGGAAGAGCAUUGCCAGCAGGUCAAGGGACGUCAUCCUGCCCCUCUACUCAGCCCUGGUGAGGCUACAGCUUGAGUGCAGUGUCCAGUUCUGGGCUCCUCAGUGCAAGUGAGACAUGGAGCUCCUGGAGCUGGAGGGCAACAAAGAUAAUUAAGGGAUUGUAGCACCUCUCUUACAAGGAUAGGCUGAGAGAGCUGGGCCUGAUCAGCCUUGAGAAGAGAAAUCUGAGAGGGAACCUCAUCAAUGUGUAUGAAUAUCUAAUGGGAGGAUGUCAGAAGGAUGGGCCAAGCCCUUCUUGGUGGUGUCAAGCAAUAGGACAAGAGACAAUGGGCAGAAACAAAUGCACAGGAAGUUCCACCUGAACAUGAGGAAGAACUUCUUUGCUGUGUGGGUGACCGAGCAGUGUAACAGGUUGCCCAGGGAGGCUGUGGAGUUUCCCUCACUGGAGAUACUCUGCCCUUGGGACAGAAUCGUGUACCAUGUACUCUAGGAUGACCCUGCCUGAGAAGUAAGGUUGAACCAGAUGACUCACAGUGGUCCCUUCUGACUUUACUAAUUCUGUAAUUCUGAAACCUGGACACCUAGUUCUACAUCAAACAAUCAGAAUAAAUUUUUAUUCCUUCAGACUGUCAGCAAAAAUGCCUACAUUCACUCCUCACUGCAAAGGUUUUCAUGGCUCAGCAGGUUAGGUUUUGUUUUCUUUUUAGCUAGAAACAUUGUGUAAUGCCUUGAUUUGAUAUAAGACUAUCUCUUAAACUAGAAAUAAAUAUCCAUGUGACUGAACUGUAAUAAAUCCAGAAAAAAAAAAAAAGAAAAAAAAAAGGAAAAGUAUGCUUCUCCUUGUUUUUCUACCAAACAGAUAGGUUUAAGGCAGAUCUCAGGGGUGUUAUUGAAGAAGUUAAUCAAAUAGAUAUAAACAAUUGGAUUUUAAACAGCUAAGACAAGUAGUGUUUCUUUAGUAUUUUCAUAUAUUUCUGCUCUUAAAGAUCUCCUACUGCAAGGCAAGACAAACCUUAAUAUAUAUGCAAGUGUGUUUAAGUGUGUGUGGGUGUAUGAAUAUGCACAGUAUCAGUUUCUUUCAUAGUAAGAACCAACUGCAAAUGCCUUACAGCUUUUUGUACUAGAUUUUGUCUUUCCAUUUUUAUUUAAUUUUUUAGAAAUAUGGUUUACUUCUCUUGCCUUUUCCUCCAGGCUAUUGUUUAUCCCAAUGGAAAAAUUUCUUAUAACCAGGAUUUGUAUCUUAAGCAUAAAUACUGACAACUUGCCUAUAGCUAUAUUGCCUAUAGAAGCAAUUACAGAAUGACUGGAUUGCACAUGAGCAGACCAGAAUCAACUUUUUAUUGCAAAUGUCUUUUAAAUAGAAAUACAUUACCAUUAGAAAAUGUUGGUUUUGGCUGCAAAGUUAAAGGCAGAACAUCAACAAAUCUAAAAUGCUUUCAUCCCUGAGGGAAGAAAAUAUUCCAUUUUAUGAAAUAAGAGUGUGGAAAUAUAAAAAAGCAGCUCAUAAAAAUCACUGACUAACCAGGUCUCUUUUCCCAUAUCUAACAUCCUCCCCCACUCUCCCCUCUGAACAGACACAAUGCUUUCCAUAUAAUUUUUCUACUUUGAGCAAGCAUUUUAUUAACCCAUUGUAUUUUAUUCCUCUAAAACUGUUUGGUACUGUACUAGUUCUCUUCAAAAUUGUUUAGAACAAAAUCUUACUUCUAUAGUACCUUUUUACACUGCCUUUGUGCUAAAGCUUUCCCUCAUGCCUUUGUAAGAUAAAAAUCAAUGACUAACUUUCAUCAUAUUACAAGAAUUGCAGUGAUUAAUAUUAUAGAUUAAAUGUUCCAAAGGACAAGUCUUUUCUAGAAGGUACUGCAAAGUCAGAUGUCUCAUCAUUCCAAGAAUGCCCACCCCCACCCUAGUGACUUGGGAGGUGCUAUUUAGGCUGGUGAAAAGUUAUAACUAAAGAAAUAAAAUUUUAACAAUGACUAAAUUUUAUCACAAAUAUAUAUCUAGUUAUAUUUUGGUUUAAGAUAGAUAAAUUGCCCUUAUAUUUAUAGAUGAAUGUGGUAUUUUGUAUCUCUAUUUUAUUUUAAAUUAACUUUCUAUGACUCUGCCAAAAUAGACAACCUUGCUUACACACAGCCUGAAUAAUUUAAUUCAUUGCUGCAUAGAAAUUGCUAAUAUAUGCAUAAAAUUGCUGUAGGAGGAGGAUCUUUGGACUAGAUUGAACUGGCAAACAGAUGCUUUUCUAUUUAAGCAAUUUCUACUUUCUCUGUUAGGUAGCUUGAGUUCUAACACAAACACCUGUAUAUGUUCAAGUAUGUGCAUUUGUUUCUGAUCAGGUGAACAAGUAAGGAGAAAAAAAGAAUUUAUAAAUUACUUUGGGGAGGAAACUGUAACAGAAAAAUAUUAGGUUCAACAAUCUGUAUGAUCUAUACUUGAGUGUCAAGAAAAUUAAUUUAUUACUAAUAAAUCCAGCAAAUGCUUGAUAGUUGAGAUUUUAUUUUUCAACAUUACUUUAGAUAAAUUCCCUAAAUCAAGUAAAUCAAGUAUAAAGCUAUCAUUAAAAUAUUUCUGAUAAUAACACCCCAUGUAGAUUAGGUUUGAUCUUGUCAGUCAACUCUGAACAGAAGUCACAUGCCUGCAUUAUAAAGAACCUUCCCAUGACUCUAAGAAUUCAGCUUUCCAAAACAAAAUGAGAAAUAGAAUCCUUUUAAAGAAAGAUGAAGUCCUAAAGGACGUUCUGCUUUUUCAAUUAUUUGUAAAUUCUUAAAACAUUUAUACCCUUCAGUUCAGAUCUGUGUCCCUAAUUUAUAAUUAAUAUGUACAACAGAUCUAAAAAAAACCCCAGAGUAAAUAAAACACCCUGAAUUUUUUUAUAUAUAUUACACUGAGUUAAUUUUCAAUGAUGAAUUUUAAAGAAGUCAGCGUUUUUAAAUUUCCCUCUGUUAAUGCCUCUAUUGACUCUAUACUUAAUAUUUAAAUGUAGAGAGCUUCAUCUGUGGUUAGUUUCGAUACUAUUCAGAACUCCCUGAAAAGAUUGUUUAAAAUAUAUUAAAAAUUUUCAUUACUUCCCAUUGAAUUUAAUGUUUUGUUUUAUUACAGAAAGUAUAAGAUCAAUACAGAGAUCACAUUGUCACUUUAAACAGAUCUGGAUUUGCUGAAGUUUGUUGAUGAUACCAACUAAAAUUUAAAGAAAAAUGAACUUCCCAAUCUAAAUAAUAAGGACUUCAAAUUUUUAAAAACGCUACAUAUGCACGAAUCUGCUGCUUCCAAUAGAAAUUAAAAUCCUAUCAUUUUCAUAGUUAGUUGACAUUCUUAAACAGCAUUCAACACAGCAGAAUGUCAUCUUUCUUCUGGCUUCUUGAUAUCCUUUCAAAUAAUAAAAAUACAAGUGAUUGGUGUCAAUACCAGCAUCACAACAUUUCAGCAUUUGGCAUCAGAGAAAAAAUUAUUUUCCUGUGUUAAAUAUAUUAUUAGUACAAUUCCUGCUAGAGUAGCCCUGCCUGGGUAUGAGUAUGGGACAGUAAGAAAAGUACCACUGACAUAUCAAAACAAAUUGUCCAUUAAUAAAUAUGACACUUAGAGGUAUAUUUUAAUUACUUUUAUUUGACUAAUUAGAAUUAAUGGUAAAGUAAUACAUAACUGUGUUUUGCUCAGAAAUUUUGAGAUGCUCAAAAUACAGACCUGGUUCCCAGAAUACAUUUUACUGACACCCCAAAACACUGCUGUCUUAAUAAUUUAGUUUUCUACUUGCUACAGCAUUUCUUAAGACAUGGAGUUUGCAGAAAUUAUGUUUGACUGCUGUCUACAGUGUACUGGGAAGUAGGACUCAAAUGAUAGUAAGGGCUUGUAUCUCUCUGGACACUAGAGAAAAAUAAUCUUUGGUCUGAGCUAUCUUCAAUUUAGCAAAUUAAUCUUUUCCUGACUUAUUGAGAUAUGAUUUAAAGGGCACAUAAUAUCUACACUGUGUUUGAUGGGAAAGUUGAAAUACAAACAAGACUGUGGAAUGUCUAAUGUUGUAAAAACUGAAGUCAUUCAAGCAUGUCAGGAUACAAAGUUUUGGAAAAAGGAAAUUACAUUUAUUUAUCUCAGGAGCUUUCAGGAAUAGGUGGCAACUUAGUCAAGGCUGUGAGGAGCUACAGUUUGAAUUUAGUUAUCAAAGUUGAGACAUUCUUUUUUGGUUAAAUCUCUGGUUGCAAUGGUUUAAUAACUGACAAAUAUUUAAAUAAAAUAUCAGAAACACUUUUUUUAAUAUCUGAGUUGUAGUCUUUCAUAGAUCUGCUGUCAAAUGUAGCUUACAACAUUCUUUUAAAGUCCAUCAGAAGAUGUAGUCGUGCCUAAAUUGAGAAGUAUUUCCCUAUGUUUUGUCUUCUAAAAAAAAGAUUAGAUCAAACUUCCCACAAUUAAAAGAAUAUCACCUAUUUUCCAGAAAAACAUAAGGGUAUCCCAAGCUUAAGCUAUUUUUCUUUUAAGCUACAAGACUUUAUAAAUGACCAUUUGGUUAUUCUUAAGUCACUAACAAAAAAAAAAAAUCAUUAUCAAAUUAUCUUAGUUGCCAUUGUACCUUGAGGAAAGGCAGGAUUUGAUUUCAGAUCUCAGAGAUGCUACUAAAAAGAAAAUACCAAUAAUCUGUCCUGAGCCUUAACUGUUAAUUUUGAGAGUUAUUUUUUCCACGGUCUCAAUAAUAAGUGAGACUGGCCUAGAGGCACCUUAAACUGAUCAUAAUUUAACAUGAACUUUGGAUUUUGCCACAUUAUCAUCUAUGAUUGAUUUACUAAAAUUCGCUGCAGACAGGAUAGGAAGGAAAAAGGAGAGGAGAUUUAAUGCUAUUGCAUAAAAAGCAGACUGCAUUAUUCUUUGACAUUGUAUUCCAAAGUCUUAUUCAGUGCUCAGAGUGUGAUACUUGUAAAAAACAGUGAGUUCCACAACUUUGGUAUAAACUAGUAACAUUCAUAAAUUUAUGUAUUAUUAUCUAUGUUUUAACAGAUUUAUGGUUUAUCCAAAGUAGUACAAAAUAUCAAUUUUCAAAGAGACUUGGUGCAUACAUAAAAGACCUUUUCCUUAGUCAUACACUGCAUGGGCAAAUUAAAAAAAAAAAGGCUUGCAUUUAUAGCUUGUUGUUACUAAAUCAUUUAAGUAUCUUUCUAUGUGAGUAAAUUUUAUUUCAUUACAUGUGUCAGAUAAAUGUCGACUAAGUUUCUUCUAAGUAAAAGUCUUGUGAAUCUUGGAUAAUAAUAAUAGCAAUAAUACGUUUAAAUGGCUUUUAAACCACAGUUUUUGAUAACAGCAUUUAAGUAAAUAAGCAUAUAUUUGGUAACAAAAAGAAUCAUUCUAAAGGGAGAUUUUCAUCCAGAAAACCCAAUCAGAUAAAUGAUUUUUCAUGUUUACAAACUAAAAGAAUAAUUAGAAUUUGCUAUGAAAUAACCUAUCAGUACUUGUAUGAAAUUGCAAAGUUACUGUAUUUGAAAAUUGUUUUUGAUCUAUUUUCUGGGAAAAAAAAAACAUUAGAGGAAAAGAAAUUCUACUGAAUAAAAAAUUAAAGCUCCAGUUAAUCCCUAGUUCAGGUUUACUGCCUCUGGAGGGUGUGCAGUGUUACUGACUGCAUAAGAGCAGCAACUCUUGCCUCAGUAAUAAAAUAGACUGCAAACAUUUUCCAAUUCAGUUUUAAUGUAAAUCAGUCUUGCUUGUCUUGUGGCCUAAAAUGCUCAUAAAAUAAACAUUUUUUUUUUCUCCCCAUGUUGAAUUUUGCUGAUGCUGCUUAAAUUUUUCUAUGGAAAAGGUGACCAAAAUAUUGUGACAGAUCAGAAGAUACUUAUUCUCAUUCUAAAAACCAGGAAAACAGAAAGUAAGUUUGAUUUUUGAAAGGGCUGCAUGAUUCUUGAUCAAUAUUCCAGUGAUUUUCAAUGGAUUUGGAUCUGGAGUUUUUAAAGGAUGUGAGUAUUGUGCAGAGAUGUUGGCUUGCAUUGACCUAAAUUGAACCAGCUUUGGGACUGUAAGGAAUAUAGCUCUGCUAAGCUUACUCUAACUCAUGAAUGAAGCUGAGAAAAAGGCUUAUUGUGGGUGAAGCAUGAUGAUGACACACCCUGUGGCACACGUGUCUGAGAGGGCAGAGUGACUGCAAACAGUUAACAUGGUUCCUGCAGCAUUACUGGGUAAGUUUAGUUUACUUUGUGCAAGCUCCAUAAACAUUUUAGAGCCACCCAGUGAGAACUUGACACCUUUGUGAAUACUCAGAUCCUUUCAGUAUGUGGUCACAUUAAAUUUAUAAAAGGCACUCUUAAGUAGACAGCAAAGGCAAGGAAGAAUGUUGUCUAUCAAGAAAUCCACCUCCUGGAUGGAGAUUUUGGACUGCCCACUGAUUUACCUUCAGACUUAGCAGGCUGUGGCAGGGUGAGUAGGUCACUUGGUAAGGGGUAGUGGUAGCCUGUUUAUUAUUCAUGAAUUUCCCAGUUAUCAAUAAUUUCAUGGAUCCUCAUGUAAAAUGUUCCUUUGGCCCUGGCAAGUAUCGCCUUAGAAGACCAAAAAUGGCAACAGCGGCUCCCUUGUUGUCAUGAGAAUAUACCAAAUCUAGGGUAAGAACUUCACCAGAAGAACUCUAACCUCAUACAUAUUCCAAAUACUCUACACAUUGCUUAUCAGAUUAUCAAUAUUUAUGAAUUUCCUGUGUUUUAUUUUCUCAAAAUAUACUGACAAACUUGAAUAUAUUUGAGUAAGAUACAACAAAAAUGGUUCAGUGUAGAUUUACAUGUGUGAUAUAUGAGAUCAUACAGAAUGUACAGCUUUAGUGAAUAUUUCUAAAUAUAUAUAAUUCUGAGCAACACUUCUUUCUCCCCUUCAUAAUAUUACUGGAUAUUUUACAAAGAAAAUUUUGUGUUUGUUCUUCAGUUUCUACAGAAUAAAAUAGAAUUUUAAAAACAAGAUAGAACUUCCUUAAUUAAAUCUCCCUGUAUUCUUAAUUUACAAUAAAUUAAAUAACGUUCCACAAGUUCAGUCUGUUUGGUCUGUGAUAGUAAUUGGUAAGUCCUGACCUCAUAGUCAGACUCAGGGGCCUGGUUGCUAUCUAUGGGUCAGGACCUGAGCUGUGGCUGAUCACCAUCUUCAGAGUACUCCAUUGCUAAAAAACCACAACUGCAGUUUUUCUUUCUACAGAGUAUUUAGGAUGUUAGGAAAAAAUUCUUCACUGAAAGAGUUUUCAAACAUUGGAAGAGAUUUCUCAGGGAAGUGGUUGAGUCAUCCUGCCUGGAUGUACCUGAAAGGUGAGCAGCCGUGACAUUUAAUGACAUGGUUUAUUGGUGGACUUGGCAGUGCAGGGAUAAUGAUUGGACUCGAUGACCUUAUAGUCUUCUUCCAACCUAAAUGAUUCUAUGAAUCCAUGAUUUAAAAGUUUUUAAAAAACUAGUCUAUCCUAAGUUCUAAAGCAAGGCAAGGAAAGAGAAUGUAUAUAUUUUUUAGGUAUUUUAAAAGAAAUAAUUUUGUACGUUUUUUCUCUGAGACGAUCAUCUCAUAUUGUAGAUGAAAAAAUAGCAUAAAAUAUUAGUUCUAAAAGAUAAACACAUUAAUGACAUUAGAAGACUUUGUAAACAACACUCUGAACUUCAGUGCUAUUGCUCUUUAAUGUGCUACAUACUUUUUGAGAAAUUAUGUUAUAUUAAUUACUUUUCUAUGUUGCUUGUACAAAAAGCUGCCAGCUGUUUUAUAAAACUUGUAAGAGUAUAGCUUACUCUUGUGAUUUUUGUAUUUGAAUACCAUCAUACUGCAAUUGUACAUGAGUAAUUAUACGCAUCACUAAUCCCCAUCUUGCUCUCAAUAAGUCUGUUCAUAUGAAUAAUGUUUACAUAUUUUGCUUCUAAAUAGGAAAUCAGACAAUAAAAAUAAAAGCUGUAAAAAAAUAUUUUAAUAAUUAAAAAACCAAAAGGCACUAUAAAGAGCAAAAAACCUACAAUGAAAAUCCACAAUGAAAACCCUGCUCCAGGAUUUGAGCUCAAAUUUUUAAAUAGUUGUUUUUCCUUUCUUGAAUAUUUUACCUUUCAUCUUUCCUGCAUCUAUUUAUCAGCUACCUUUUAUGAAGCCUUGACCCUGAAAAUACUUUGAAAUAUGAAUAAAGAUUCUGAGAAAUAGAUUACCAACAAGUAUAAACCAGGAUUUUUAUAUGAAGAGUUGUCAAUGUUGCAGUUAGUGGUUUUAUUUACAGUAAAGCUUUUAUAAAGACUUACUUGCCAUAAAUUUAAAAGUCACCUGAUAAAAUAAAUAUUCAUAAAAUUCUUUAAGAAUUAACCCACUUAUGAUCUACUAACAAGCACUUUAUUUCCCUCAAAAUUAUAAUUUUAACAAAAUAAAGACAUAGGCAUUCUUCUGCUGCUCCGGAGUUAUAUUAGAGCUGUGUGAUAGAUCAUGUCUCUGUUAAAAGAUUUAGUAACUGCAUUUGGCAUAACACAAAUUUUAAGAUGUUCAGUCUCAAGGAUAAAUGAAAAGAUUGGUUUUCAAUACUAAAAAUUACAAUAAACAAUUUCAAAAUAUGUAACUGAAGAAGAUUUGAACGAAAGAUAAUCCCACUCUUAAAAAAAACCUCCAAAACACCCCCCAACAUAAGUGUCACAAAUUAUGAAGAAAAAAGGUAUUUUUUAAACAGAAAUUACCAAAUUUGUAUUUUUAACAACAAAAAACUCAGGAAAAUUAAUUCUUGAAUUUGUUUGUUAUUUUAUAUACAGUCCAUGCUGGUGUCCUUUUAUCAGCUUGUACUUUGGUCAAAAUCAGUUGAUGUAAUAAAACUGAAAUUAUAAUCAGCUGAUACUCAGUACUAUAUUUUUGUAAUCCGUUACUAUAAUGGUAAUAUUUUGAACUGUAGUGAAGUGAUUAAAAAAAAAAAAAAAGAUUAAAAAACAAAACAAAGACAUUAAUGCAAUUGCACCACUAUAUAACUGGACAAAAUUUUGUCUUUCAGUAAUAUAUAAAAAGUGCUGUCUUUAAAGGUCUCUGAAUUAUUAUCUCAAAAUCUACCAGUGAUGUUCAGUCUUGACGUGGCUUUUUCAGACUUAUUUAACACAAAGGGAAAGAACACAAUUUUUCUUUCCUUUUUACCUUUCAGUCUUUAAGAUUUCAGUUUCACAAAACCACUAAAAUCCUGUGGCACUUCCUUUGAGUGAAAAUAAAUUGUCAGUUUUCCCAAAAGCUUUUAAGUGGUUUGAUUUUGUCAUAUUAUUUACCUCAAAGUUAUAUCAAGAUACAAAAAGAAUUUCUACAGAUCAGUAUUAAUGUGUACACCAGAAACAAUUUUAGUUGACAAAAGAAAACCAGAGUAUUAAAAGAAUUUUCUUACAUUUGGUGUUGCCCUAUCCAUUUAAUCUACUUUGGAGGUGGCAAGCCAACUUAAUGACUGUUCUGGCAAUAACUGAAAAAAAAUUCUUUCCAUUUUAAAUGUUUUAACUUAUCAAACCAUGUCCCACUCACAUCCUUGCAGUAUUUAUUUACUCUUCUCUGUAUUUGUAAUCUUUUUUUCAAAUAAAUGUUGCCCUCGGAGAUUUAAAGGAAGACGCUAGAUUUUUUGUUUUGUUUUGUUGGGGUUUUUUUUGUUUGGUUUUUUUGGGUUGGUUUUCUUUUUUUUUUUGAGACAGUGGCAGUUCAGUGUUUGGCUUGCAUUACAGGACCUCUGAUAUUUGGCAAUGUAAGUUCUUGGUUUGUGUCAGACACUUUAUUUAAUUGGACAAAUCUUAGGACUGUAGAAUAGCACAGAAUUCACAAAUCUUACCCAUUUUUAUUAAUGCCACAUCCAGAAUGCUUCAUAUAUAUAUGCAAUAUCUUGUUUGAAGGACAAAAUAAAUUAUUUAACUAGAUUAACUGAUAUUUUGGGGAAAAACUUCUGAGCCCAGAAUUUUGCUCAGGUUUGAAAGCACUGUUUUCCUAAAAAAGCAUGUAUGCAUCUCAUUUGAAAACAUUGAUUUAUACAUAAAAAUCCCUCUGCAACAAUAUAUCUAAAUAACAUUAAACUUGAAAGUGUUGGAAAAUUUCAGAAUUAAGGUGGUGGUCACAUUUCAUUCCAACCAUAUUUUUUUUCAUCUUUUGAUAGCCAUGUAUUAAUUAAGAACGAGAGACAAAAUAAAAAGUUCUGUGUGUUGCAAACGUGUCCUUUUUGCAUGCAAUGAAUUCUAGUUAUAACUACCCCUUUGAAACAGGAGGAAAUUAGGCUUCAAUUGCUUUGUGUCUUCUUAUAUCUUUAAUUUAAACUUAUUCCUUUUUAAAUUGCCAUAUUCUUGAGCAAUAUUCUUCAGCACUGAGGGGUAGAUCUCAGACCUACUUUUGAGAAUACAGAGAGCAUUAAGCCACAGGAAGAUCUGUGAUUUAUAAAGCAUCAGACCUUGUGAUUAAAUAUUUAUAUUUCCAAAAGAAAUAAAUAUGAACUGCAAUUUCAGUCAUUAAUGACUUAUGAAUGUUUAACAUGACCAAAAUCGGAUUUACUGAUUCAGUUUGACUUCUAUUACUUUUAGCAGUUCCAUUUUCUUAUUUUUCCCAUCACACAAGGCUGUUAAGGCUGCUUUGGUCAUCUCUUUCACUUCCUUGCUUCAAAGGUCAGUAGAAAAAUUAGUGAAAAUGCAGGCAAGACAGCUCUGUUCUGGUACCAGUGUCAGGGGAAAAUAAAAGUCACUAUUCAGAUUACACAGCCCUUGACCUCCAGAAGACCGGAAUUAUGAAACCUGCAGUUACCAAUUCCUUAGUCUUAUAUCUAGACACUUUUUCAAAAGACUAAGUCAACAGAUUAACAACAACAACAAAAUCAUACUCUAGCAAUUUCUCGGUAGAGAAGUCUGAUUUAGUGUGCAUUUCAGUGUCAAUUACUUUUACUAUGACAAAGUUAGGAGUAGGAAUAAGCAACCCCUUUCAAUGGAAGCUGUCAGUCUCAGUGUAGGUUAAUCUUUGCCUAAUUAACAGAUAGACAGAGAGUUGGGUUAAAAGAUCUGUUAGUGGGAACUUGAAUUCAUUGUCAUGAACUUCCAAAGACAUUUCAGAAAAACCUUUUAUUCUAUGUUAUAUAAUUUUUAAAAAUAAUGUGAAACUAUUAUAUCUUUUGUUUAAGACCUCAGAGCUCGAUGCAGCACUCCAGGUCAUGUCUUACAAGAUUGGAGUACACGGGCAGAAUCACCUUUCUCAGUGAGGAGUGGUUGAGAUAAUUUGAAUACUUCAGCUUGGAAAAGAAAAGGCUUUGGAGUGGCCAAGUUGCAGCCUUCCACUACCUGAAGGGAACUUAAGGAAAGAUGGGGAAAUAAAAUCAUUAUAUCCCUAUCUCAGAGGGAUGUCUCAGAUAGAAUAUCUACGUUUUUUCUCCUUGCUGCUUUUAAGAAGAAUUAAGACUGAACUCACUACUGCAGACUCUCUGUGAGGAUGCUUCAGGUUUCCUGUCUCAGAAUGAGGACUUGACAUAGCAGAUUACCAAGCUGAGGUCUGGAAGAAACAUUUUGUGACUAUGCAAUGGAAAGCAAUAAUAUGGCUGAGAAUUCCAUCUGUUUUUUAAGGUCUUGACUUGUUCAAGAAGCCUUAUGUCUCUAUCCCUUCUGGCUGAUUUAGCUUGUUUUAAAAAUUGUCCUUCUUUAAGUUUCUCUAGGCCUUGAUUUUUCAGUAUAAUUUAAUCUAUAUACAGUUCUGCCAUUUUUUUGUCCUCAUUUUCUAUAUUUUUUUCCUCAGAAUUUACUAGUGCUUGAUCCUUCACUGAUGUUGCUACAAGGUCUGGUUUUUUUAUUGCAUCAUAUUUCCAGUUUCAUUUUUUUCUCUGUGAGAUCACUUUUCACUACUUUUUCUGAUGUUUCCACUUAUAAGGUCUUUGUCCCAUCUCUCUUCUUUUGCAAACUGCCAUUAGAUCAGGUACCUUGGAGCAGUUACCUUGAGUGUUUCCAAUGCAAUCUAGUGACAACUAAACACUAUGUAUAGUGAGCCUUUGUUCAGGGAUGUUUUUUCCCCAUUCUUAUUCCCACAGAGUCCAGCCUGUAUUUUUCUUCUCUUUCUACAUUUUAAAUAAAGUUCAGACGUUCUAGCUUUUAAAACUUACUUUUCAAAAGUUUCUUCACUGGGAGGAAGUCCCUAGCAUCUUGAAGAAGCAAUUUGUCCUACAUCCAUUAGCAAAAUAAUUUUACUGUGAAUAUAUGCUUGCAGGAGGUCUCCUCAUGGUACAGUGGAGGGACUGAUGAGCUGUGAGAUCCUCAGUACAAGAGACCAUAACUGAAGGUCACACUGCCUGGAGAAUUACUGCUUGUGUAAGGAAACUGAAAUAUUUUGUGAACUAAAGAGCUAGUUCACAAGAGAUCUUUUUUCCACAUUCACUUUAUAAGUGCAUUAACCUCACUAAUUCACACACUAGAGAGACAAAUUUGGGCACACACACCAAUAAAGUUGUACAUGGAAGCCAGUAAGUUUUUCCUUUUGCUUUAAUUUAUGUAAUGUUCAUGACAGAUUGAUAUGAGGAUUAGGUUUCUAAGACAAGAAAACUUGUUGUCUGUAACAUAAUAGGGAGUACAAAGCACAAUAAAUUAUAUAAAUUGGGAAGAAAAAAAUUUAAACUUUUAAUUUCUUCUUAGACAUGCCUGGCUUCAAUCCUCUGUGUUCUCCAUAUACUGAAAAAUCUGUUGGUUUGAAACAUCAAAAGUUAUAUGCAAAAAAGCUGUUUGUCAAUGCUCCUUCUCUUGCCUGUAAUUUCAAGAAGUGUGACAAAUAAGCAUUUCUUUGGCAGAUCACUGCAGGGUGACAAUAAUAUCUACAACAUUUAAUUCUUUUUAUUGUGUUGGUUUCUUUUUUAUGACUGCAUGCAUGCAUAUUCUCUAAAAGGUGAUCAUGGUCAGCAUAAUCCAAUAACAAGCUUCAGCAAGGCCUAUUCUAAAUUAUAGGAAAGAGCUUUAAAAUCUAACAGAAUUAGAUAGGGACACUUCUCUUUAAAUGAAAGCACUAAUUUUCAAGUGCUCAACAGUAGGCAUUGUCAGCUUAGGAAUGCCAGAGCUAAAUAGUCUUUCAUUGUUGAAAAGAGAUUUCCACAAAAAGGAAGAUGAUAGAGGAGCAUAUCCACCCUUUGUAAGAAUGGUCUAUGCAAAUUAUUUCUUUCAGAACUAAUUUAGCAUUGUCCCUUUGGUGUGAUACUCCAGGAAACCAACAAACCUUCACUUUACUCUUCAAUUUGCUAAUCAGGAGAGAUACUACUACCAACAGCCUAGAAAGUUUGGGGUUUUUUUGAAGGUUUUGAAGUAGAAGGGCUAAUUUAAAAAUGUAAUCCAUAAGCCGCACUUUAAACUAAAAUAUUUAAAGGAAUUUUUUUUUUUUAAAUCCACAAAAAAUUCUCAGAAAGCUGUCCUAUCUUAUUUGAGUUCAUUAAAGCAUCCUCCAUCACAAUAUGUGCCUCCAGCUCUACUGAGACACAGGUUAUAGACCAGGAAGCUAAUGAGAUCAGUUACAGUGAGACUAUAAAAUUGUAGCAUAAGGAAAGUACACAUGGAUUGUUAUAACUUGGAAAUCAUAGUAACUGUACAGAUACCUUCAGCUUUCUGUUAUUAAAAGAUGGUAAAUAUGCUAAAUACUAGUGUAUUAUACUUAAAACAAGUACUUUUGAAACUUUGUAAAACUGUCUGCUUUUAAUAUUAAUCCUUGUUGUAUGCAUUCUAUUUUAUUUAUCUUCUCAUUCUACUCUCUCCUGCUUGUCUGCCUCUUCUGUCAUUUUCCCUCUCUCUGUUAUUCCUCUGGCCUCUUUUUGUGUCUUUUUUCUCUUGGCUUUAUUUUUCUCUCCCUGGAGAGAUUCCCAGAUCACAUUAGAAAUGUAGGUUAGACUUCUGAUGUCAUUCUUAGAGAAAGAAAAAUAAAUUACAACCUUAGUGUUCAAGGCUAUAUAGGAAAUUUUCUUACAUGAUUCUGUAGCAACACUUUUUCAUGAUCCUGGGAUGCUUCAAUGUGUAUUCGUGGAUAGGGAAAAAAUGAAAACUUGGGAAGGUAUAACUUUAGAUGUAUGAAAACUUGUGCAGAGUUGCUUGUCUCGCUGUAGAGUUGAUGUUGUUCUAGCCAUCUAGUGACAAAAAAUUCAGGAAUGCCACUUUAAAAUAAAUUAAUGCACUGAGUUUGGGAUUUUAUAUGUAUUUAUUUCAUCAGUUCUUCCUUGUUAAGACAAUGCUGUGUGCUAUUAAUGCCAUAACGAGAUGCUCUAAUCCCUGCACUUACUAUAGGGAACAUAGGUGCCUGACUGAGUAUCAUAGAUUCUGCUGCACAGCCUAAAUCAAUGAAAUUUAGAGCAGUCAGAUUCCUUGUCUAUUAGACAUCUUUCUGAAUAGAAAUAGGUAUUCUUGAGUAUCUGAGUUGUAUAUCUUGUUUUGUCAGGUCAGGAUCAAAUCUUCUUGUUAAAUUACACAGUAUGUUUUUUAUUACAAUAUUUCUGUAGCAAAUGCUCCAUACAUGGAAACAGCAGCCCCACAUACGUUAACACAAUUCUUUCUGAAACCAAAGAUCUCAGAUGUAGGCUGUUAUUCUUUGCUAAUGGUCAUAAUUAUGAGUCACUCAUACAGUUGUUGCAUGGCUUUAAAGUCUCAAAACCUAUUGUAAAUCAUCCUGUAUACUACACAAUGCAAGACGUUUUUUCCAAUUCCCUUUUUUAAUUGACAAACCCAUUUGUAUAGGAACAGGUUUGCUGUUUUUCACAAUUCAUCUGCUAGACAGAAGACACUAUUUUGUUGUAGAAAGCAAUCAGGUUAGUGUGGCAUGAUUUGCCUUUGGUAAACUCAUGUUGGCUUUUGUCAAGCACUUUCUACAUUUGACUUGUAGGGUGCCUCAAGAGUUUAACAUGGGAAAGCUUUACAUCACAGACAUGUAUGUGUCUAGGAAGAAUUUGCGGUUUUAAAAUAUUGUUUGAUUUAAACUCUUAUAAUUUUGUCUAAAAUUUAUUAUAUUCACUUCCAUGAUACUUCAAACUCUGUAUUUUGUAUUUAAUUCUCUUGUCUUGUCCAUUCAGUCAGGUCUAGGUAGUGGGGUAGCUCUCUUGUAAUCAAGUACUGUACCUGUAAAUCUAUAAGUUGCAUUCCCUUUUACCUCUCAGUAAUGAAUUUUGAUGCACAGGCAUAGCUGUAGUUUGUUCUAGUUCCAGAUUUUCUGUCUCCUCUGAGCAAUCAAGCUACGGAACAUUUUACCCACGUCUAUCUCAGUAAUAUGCACCACAAAACACAUAUAGCAAUGACAAAAUCAACAGACUUUUAUAAGAGCCUGUUCCUAAUUACUGCAGGCAUUGUCAUUAUUUAUUUCUUUUAUUGGAAAUCCUUGUAAUUCUACAUAUUUGUGCAAAAUCCCAUGUGAUAGGACAAUGUUUUUUUUUAAAUUUGUUCUCUCAGUGAUACAGUUGAGAGUAUGGUGACACAAUAAUCCUCUGUAUGAGCUAUGAGGGUGUCCUUUUUUCAGGAGGCCUCCACAAGACUCACUUGUAAAUCAUUCAUUAACAAUUUAAGCUAAAAUAAAAAUGGAGAGUAAUACAUGAGAAUCUGCUUGCUUUUUUAUUUUUCUUUGCCCCACUGAAUAUUUUGCAAUAAAUAAUAUUAUUUCCUGAAGUGAAUAUUAUAGAAAGUAUAUAUAGAUAUAUAUAAUAUACAUUAAAGACAAUGUAUUUUAAAAUGCUCUGUAAUAGACAGUAUUUUUUAUGCAAUUAAACAGGAUAAAAUUAUGUAACUGUGUGGGAAAGAAAAAAGACAAAAUGUCAUUAAUCUCGUGUCAGUGAUGCUUUUAUCUAAUACAAAUAAUGAUGUUUGUGGUGCAAGAGUUUGCUGCAUCUUAGUUUGAGUAAAUGACUACACUGGCACAUUGAUUGAUAAAUUGGUCACCAUGGCUCACUUAUUUCCUUGUUUAGUUCUGGUGUUAGAGGAAAAGUUCCAAAUGCCAAUCAAAAAUUUCUCUUAAACACUAGAGAAUAUAUAGGUAGUUAUUUAAAUGAGAUUUUUUAAUGAACUAUUAGAUAAUUCCUCAUUGUAUUCACAAACUGCUGAAACUUAUAAAGAUACUUGGACUAAUAAGCCAUAGCAUCUCAUUUCUGGUGCCUUGCUUUUCUCAUUACAUUUUUUUCUAAGGCAAUGAAGAUUUAAUCAAAGCAGCAGGAAACAGCAUGAAUGUUGUGUGGGUAUUGUUUCGUGCACUUAUGUCGGUGAUUUCCAAGAGAAAGAUGAGCAGAAAAUGAGUUAUGGCUGUACAUGAAGAAUCUGGAUUUCUUCAGCUCUCGUAAGGUUGAGGAAAUUUGAGGGAGAAAAUCUGAAAAAUUACCUGGAGCAGGGGGGAAGAAUUAAAUAUAUUUCUUGUUCUAUAUAAGCAAAUUAGAGAUAUUUUAACGUUUUCCCUUAAUACAAUUUAAAACAACUUCUAUGCAACUGAGGAACUGGGAGUAGAGAACAGGAAAGAAAGAGGUGGGCUUAUUAAAAGUGGAUACAAACAAGUUUGAAAACCAGUACACAAAAAAUUUUUCAAUUUUUCCAUUGGAAAGGAAAUAAUAUAUAUCUACAUUUAGAUGGGUAAAUAAGCUUUAAGAUGUUGAUUUUUUCAAUUUGUCAAUCAAUUUUAAAUUCACGUUUUAACGCAAACAAGCUGAACAGUUGUUUUAGCACAUAUCAGAAGCCAUUUUAAUAAAGUAAUAACGAAGUAAUUUUUUUUUUUAAUUGCAAGACUAUUUUCAGAAUAGGGACAUUCAAAGUUUGACUUGGUUUUCUUUGAUAGUACUGUGGUUGAAGAAUCAACUUCCAUUGGACUAGUCAAUGGACAACUGAGGAAACUUUCAAUGAUUUUUGGGUUCUGGGUUCUGUAUAUUUCUCUAGUUACAUAUAAUACCUUGAUUCAAACUCAGACUCUCAAAGUCAAAAGAUUUAAGAUUUUUACAGAGGAGGAAGGUAAUUCAUGAACAUUUAAAAUCAGUCUUUCACAUGAAUGCUGUUGAAACUUUUAUGUGUAGAUUUUCACAACUCUUUGGUGGUUACCAUAUAAUGAUAAAGACAAACAGCUAAACACAUUUGAUUUCAAGGUUCCAGAUACAAAAAAAAACCCAAAACAACUCAGUUGACAUUAGUUAUUUCUGAGGCAGACAAAGAGAAAAUAAUUUAAUUUUUUUUUUUAAGACAGUUAUACAUUUUAGAAGCCUACAUUAUCACUUAAUCUCUAGUGGAAAAUUGAUCACUAAUUAUCAUAUAGGCUUCAAUGAGACUUAAUGAGACUCUGCUCCUUUCUAUUACUUUUCUUAUCUACACACAUACAUUUAAAAUAAUAUGUUAAAUAUUUUUUUCUAAGCAAAUCAACUUUAGCAGGUUUUCUAAAAAAAAAAAAAUACUGUCUUUUUCAUCCUUAUUUGGAGUAUUUUGAAAUGUCUGUUUGUAUAUGUAAUAUUCCUGUAAUUAAGCUAUCAAAGUUAUGCUACUCCUGCUACACCUCUCUUGCAAAGCAAAUGGGAGUAAUUUUUUUUUUAUUUAUGAAAUAUUGAUAUGAAAUGUUUCUUAAACUAACACACAUCUUCUUUUCAAAUGUCUCUUUUUCAAAGAAGCCUUGACUUGCCCUCACAAAAGACUUGCUAAGUAUUUUGGAUUUGCCUGUCAAGCCCAACAAUGUUGACAAUCUGCUGUCCAAUUCUUAUGAUGGAAAAAAAGAAUAGGUGUUAGUGUUUCCAUAAAAGAGUUACUUUACAGCAGUUUCAUCUUUAGGCUAAGCAAUCAAUGCAAUUUAAAGAAACUUCACUGAUAACACUAUUGUAAACCAGUCCAAAAAGCACUAUAAAACAUAGUGAAAAACUGUCUUAAUUGAAAGCUUCAAGUCGUGACUUCAGAGGGCCUAUGAGACCAACUGUUCCUGGCGGCCGCCUGGCUGGAAAAUCCCAUUUUAUAUACGGAUUGUUUUGACAGCAGCCAACCAUGAAGAUGAAAAACUAGCAACUGCUGAUUUAGUUUCCCUUGGCAUCUAACAGGAGAGGCUCUAAGGCUCCCUGAGCAUGUACAUUAAGUUAUGAUACCUUAAUAACUAUAAGUUGUGGAGUCCAGAAGGAGGUUGUGAUCAAACUGUAGGGCUUAUUAUUUUAAUGACUCUAAUAAAAUGUUUUAGAGGAACAUGUAAAUUCCAGCCAGCUUCGUAGUGAAGAGACCAACCUGUGCUGCACUUGAACUCAAGAGAAAGGGAUUUAGUUCAAUUUAGUUUGUUGAAAUUCAAUGUAUUUAACUUGCUCCAGAGUAGCAAGUGAAAAAUACAGUUUUCUUUUCAAGUGUAGAAACAUUUGGGUGAUUUGAAAAUGUCAUACUCUGCUUUCUGUGACUCAUUCAAAAGUUCUUGGAAUGAAGGUGUGAAACAAUGUUUAAAAGGAAAAUAAAAAUAAUAAUUUUGAAUUAUUGCAUAAACAUGGACUGCACAUCGUGAAGGAGACCAGCUCUGCUUAUUCUUCUUCCAGGGGUUUCUAUACCAUCUGCUGAGUUUUAUCAGUAGAUAUAGCUCUUUUGAUAAAGAGCUAUAAAAUGAUUAUAUAGAACUUUAAAUAUUUGGUGGUUUACUUUUAUUAAGAUACAUAUUAUAUGAAAGUUAUACUUUGAUAAUAUUCUUACAUAUUAGGUUUCUAAACACUUAAAAAUUUCAAAAUGCUGUAAUCUUGGAGCAGUCUGUAAAAAUGGGUGACUGUGGGGUUACGCUAACACUGGAACUGUCAUUCAGCUAAAACCACAAAAAGAUCUGGGACAACUUAAAAAAAACUUCUUCACUUGUCAGCAACUUUAUGUUGGGGCAAUCUACAUGGUGCAGGUGUCGAGGCAUUCAGAUUCAGACAGACCAAGUCAUCCAUGUUUAAAAAUGUAAUUUUUAUUGUCAAUAUAAAUAUGUCAGCACAGUCUUGGGAUAUCUGUUGUCAUUCUGGCAUACUACCUACUUACUGCACAUGCUUUUAAUAAUAAUGAUAAAUUUAAAUAAUAUUUUAAUAAUAUAAAUAAUAAUAAAGAUAUAAAAUAAUUGUUUUAAUAUGCAUAAGGUGAAUAUUGAAAAUGGUUAGCCAUGGUUAAUAAUGUAGAAAAAAAAUCAUAAAAAUAAUAACCUCAGUGAAGUGGUAUGGCUUUCGAAAUGCUCUCCCACCAAAAAAAAAAAAAAAACCAAAAAAAAAAAACCAAAACAGAAUAGGUUUUGCAGAUAAAAAUAUCUAAAUUCUAUAUCUCUUUAAUGAAAUUGUCACUAGAAUAAUAUCACAUCUGCACUUUCUAAGCAAGCCAGCAAUUCACUGACUUUAAAGUUUAAAGAGAAAUUCCAAUGUGCUUUGCAAAAGAAAAUAUUUGUAACAUCUUCCUUGUAGUGGGUCAUUGCAAUGUUCCUUCAGUUCUGUGCCAUAUAGAUAAAAAGCCAAAAACUAAGUAUGUUCUAACUUAUUUCCAAAGGUUUGCUAUUGAAUGCAGAGCAGUUUUCUUUUUUUUGGAACACGAUGUUUUACUUACAAUCAAAGCUCCUGUUUCUGCAACCUGUGGAAUUGCCUACUGUGUAGCCUAUGUUACCUGUAGCAUGUGUAAGAAAAGAUAUUGAAAAUGAAAUUGCAAACAUACUAGAAACGAAAGGAUUUUCCACAUGAAAUAGAACUUCUAAAGCAUAGGCAAAAGAAAAAAUUAGCACAUAAAACAAAGAGCAUAUGAAAGUAUACCAUUGUUGCAGUUCAAUUGCACACCAGCAGGCUUUAUUAAGCAGAGGAAUGGUGGAUGAAUUUCAGAUGACACUAACUAGAUUGUGCUCUGACCUGGAAUAUACAGUACUCGAAAUUUCAUGGCUCUCUCCCAGACUAUUAGUAAUGGCAGCUUGUAUGCAGCAAACUCAGCAUGUAGCAAAUGAUAGAUAAGCCAAAAUCUGGGCACCUGUCCAUAACUGAAUUGUAAAUACAAUUCUCUUUCUGCCUUUGGGAAAGUAGCGUCUGUCUUACACUUUUUAGCAUACAAUUAAGACAUUACUUUAAAUUAAUAUUCCCCGUGUUCUACUGCAUGCCAUCUCUUUGUUGAGAAAUUGAUAAUAAAAAUUCAAAAAUUAUAAUAUUCUAAAUAUUAAUAUGUUUACUCUGAAUAUAAUUUAUUUUUAAAUGUUUGAAAAUUCUUUUCACAGCUCACACUGAUUUAAAAAUUAUGUUCUUUAACAUCAGAAGUAUGUUGUGAAGUUUUACUUUAAUGCAAAAAAUAGAAAUGUUUGUCUUUAAAUAGCAUGUAAAUUUUUUUCUCACUAUCGAAUUUGACUUUUAUAUUCUUUUUUCAUCUUUGGCUUCUGUUUAUUGUGUAAUAUUAACAUUGUAGGCAUAAGGAUAAAAUAGAUCUGAUUAGAUAUAGCUUAGAAUAAAAUUUUUCUUUCAUGCUUGAAACAUACUCGAGUUAUGUAGAUUGUAACCAAUUCCACAUUUGCAUUAUACCUUUUGUCAGUUUCACAAUAUUGUACAAAAGACAUUGCUAAGGUAGCGACUAACAUUUCCUUCAUUGGUUAGAAUUUGUCAUUGUCAGAAUUUUCAUCUGCAUACAGCAUAUGCCAACAAUCUGAUAGCCUUUAAAUUCUGAUAUUGGAAGAGUCUAAAUUUAAUUAAGUUAUGGUAAAGCUGAAACAUCCUCUUCCUUUCCUGAAAAAGUGCAGCUUAAGAUCGAAUGCAGACAAGAUUCACCCAAUCUGUACUUUGAGUGUGACUUUUUAUUCCAGUAACAGUUAUUGUAGGAAAAUUAAUUCCAAUGUAAUAAAGACUUUCAACAACAACCCUUGCUGAAUGUAAAAUCACCUUCUUCACUUCUAAUUAGUUUCUGCAGUAUUUUUCCAAAUGACAAGUGUAACAUUUAAAUAAAAUAUGUACAAGUGACAUGCUGUUCAAACUGCAAAUAUCAUAAUGCAACUCUUGAGAAUAAAGAAGGAAUUAUACUUAUCAGUAGCAACAGUGCUUAACCAAAGCUUAUACUCUUGACAAUCCCAGCUGAAACCAUUCUAUGAAAAUUCUAAGUUAAAGUUUUGAUGGAUGCACAGUUAGAAUGUAUUAAUUUUUAAGAUAUCUGGAAAACUACUGACAGAGAAAAAAAUCUUUUGCAUUUAGCAAGUUGAGAAAUCUGGAUGAGUUCCUGCAGUGCUGUGGAAAAAUCAAGGACCAAAAAAUCAUCAGCAACAAAGGCUUUUUCAGCUAGAAAGAACUCAAUGUUAAAGCAAUGAAGAUGAGAAAAGCUUCAUGUGCUGAAGAAAAGGAACUCAUAAUUCUACUUGACUGCAAAAGAAAUUACAUACUAAAGACAAAGCUGCAGUACAUAGUCUUGGUAUAACAGCAAGCCAGAUAAAUAUAUUUGGCUCAUGUGGAGGAAUUAAAAGGGUUGAAGGGAAUUGCAUAAGGUCUCAGUAAGUGCUGCAGAAACAAGAAAAAAAACCUAGCUUAGAGAGGAUGGUACAAUUGUAAAUGGGAGUGACUUAGAUGUACUCCUUAUCCAGGUGUUUAACAAGCUCAGAUAGGGAAAUGUGCAAAAUAUUUUAAUUUUUAUAGGGUGAGUUUUAUGGGGAAAAGCUUUUGUAUUUAUUUUAAAGCAGACAGCACCAUUACUGUGAUUGUCAGAAAAUUGCUUCCUAGAUAUCAUACUAUUUCAGGGAGGAGUUAAAAAAAUAUUGACUGAUCAGACGAAGACAGAGCAAGAAUUCUGAAGAAAGCGACUGCAGUAUCAGAAGAUCAAGUGAGCACUGCAAGCAAAAUAAAAUGGCUGUUCAGCUGUCCAAAAUUAUCCAAUAUCUGUUUGCUCUUUGUUCAUCAGAGAAAACUGUUCUUCAGACCUUUGUGUGAAAUAUUGUGUCCAAAUCUAUUUAAAACUGUCCUUGUUUAACAAAAGGUCAGAGAUCAUUAAUGAAACAGUUUUUUUGACAUUAUUAGUAUUAAUGAAAAUACAUUGAAAGGAGUUUUGGAUGCCAAAUAAUUAUUACAACAAUGACUAAAUAUUUAUCCACUGAGAAAAAAAAAAAAACGGCAAUCAAAAAAACCAAAUAUGCAUUAAAUCUAAAAUAAAGCUAAUACAAAAUCCUUUUACAACAAACUAAUACAGGUAUAGAGAUAGCUAUCACUGAACCAUCUUGGUCCUUGCUGUGAUAAAGAUCUCCUUCUAUUUCUUGCUUAAUGACCUCAUUCUGUCAAUGAGUUCACUACUAUGCACUGAUAUACAUAAUGUAUUUUAAUACAUUAUCAUUAAUAAAAUCCUAAUACAGUAAUCAAUAAUACAGUAAUAUAACACAACAUCAUCCAGACUCUGCAAUAUGUAGGAAACAGAAAAAAAAAGGCUUUAAGGAAAAUUUCUUAAGAGUAAAUCACAUGGGAAAUUCCUCAUAGCCAGCAUAUUACAUCCAAAGUGCCUUUUUGCUUUUGUCAGGGUAUGCCUAAGAGGGAGCAAACUGGCCUAGCCCAGGACCAGGACUACUCUUAACAUCUGAUCAGAGCAGACACACAGCUCCAGUGGACAGAAGCAAUCCAGAGCCUGGCAAUAAUUUAUUGGCUAGUACAGAGGUAGUCUGAACUCCCUGCUCUGACUGUGAUUCUUCUUGAAACGUCAGCAUUAUAGUAAGUGAUGCUACUCUGGCUUAGGAUCCAAUGAUCACAGUGUCAUUUUGUUUGGUUAAAGACAAUCUGCAGUUUGGUUGUACCAAAUAAACGAUUUCUGAUGCUAUAAAUUAUUUCCAUACUUUAGGUAUUAUUUUGAUUUUAUGUUUAACCUGAGUUUUCCUUAAAGAUAAUAAAAUUUAUUAAUGAUUGGAAUACAAACCAAAAAAUCACUGUCCAACGAUUGUACAUCAAAUACAUAAAUCUUGCAUGUUAAAGAAAGAUUCAUUUAAAAUCAAGAGAGGCAUCAGUUUAUAUUUUAACUGUUUCAAAACUUUGAAAAGAAGAAGAAACUCUUCUCUUAGACAAGAAAAGAGUCAAGAGGUACUACAUAAGUUUAUUUUUCUUUUUUUCCCCCCAAGGUCCUAAAUGUUAAAAAAGAAUAUAUUUUUCUUCAAAGGGCCAUUGGUUUCCACUGACCCCUCACAAAUGAUCCUUUUCAUGUUACUGAUCUGUUAAGGACCACAGUACAUUCUGUUUCAUAUAUUUUCCUCAGGAAUUGUAAUCUUGUACUCUUUAAAAAUUACUUCUUUAAUGAGGCUAUGCCAGUAGUAAAAUCUUAAUUGUUUUUCCUGAAUUUCACAUUCAGCAUUAGAUAUAGCAAUGACAGUUCACAUCAAACCCAGUUCCAAAAGAGCUAUCCUAUUACACUGGAAUGUACAAUGCGUAGAUCAGUACUUUGAUCCACUAUGCUUUUUCAACACACAACUUUCUUGUGGAUAAGUCAUGAGUAGUGCUGACAAAAGUACAUUCUUCUUGUAUGUUUAUCCUCUUCUUAUAACACUAGUCUUUUGGAAUCAGGUUCGGAUAAUAUAUAUUUUAUUCCUUCAUCCUUUCCCCCCUCCCCCCCGUCCCACUUUAAAAAGAUCUUAAAUAUAAGAAUUAAGAUGAAAAAUUCUUUAUUAAUUUUAGUUUUUGAAAAUGCAUAUUAAAAAUGUAAGCCCUUCUCUGUUUAGCAGUUCUAUAGAAUAGUUUUGCUGGUCUGGAGAUUCACCGAUUCUCCAUACAGAAAAAAACUACAUGUUUUUGUUUUCCAGAAAGCAGGUAAUUAAUAAUCUUAGUUCUUGACUAUUCUUCACCUCAGUGUGUUAACUCCUCCCCAGUUUUAAACCAGUUUUAAGCCAGUUUUAGUCCUUCUAUAGCAUUUCACACUGUUGUUUAUCUUUAAUGUAGAUGGUUAAAUGUAAAUCAAAAAACUGCACAAUUCUGAGUGUCAUUUAUAUAAUCUAAAAGUUUGGGCUUUUUAUAAUGACCCUAUGUGCAGGCAUAUUUAUUAGAAUGACAUCUCUUGAGCUUGUAUAUAAUUGAAUAUCUCAGUAUUUCCCUCUUUAAAUGAAUAUUCUCUUUUUGUUCUGUGCCAUCUACAGUAGGAAACGGAUAUCAUCCAACAUUUAAUGUUUGUCUAAAGGUAGAAAAAAUCUCAUAAAUUUAAAAGACUGAAGUAUUUGUUUCCAUUCAGCCUUACAACUGUGCUGAAAUCUUUAAUAUCUUCCCCAUUCUGCCAGAUCCCAGGAUUCUCCAAAGCAAUUUUUUUUCUUAAUGAAGGAUUUACAUACCCAUUAAUUCAUAUAGUUUUGUAGUGAAACCUUUAUCUUCUCUGUGUCCCAUUAAUUGCUAGUAUUGUUCUGGUACCAUUUUUUCUAACAUCACAUUAAUGUAUGCAUCUGUGCCCAUACAAAUACUGCAUUUUAUUUCAGACUGCUAGUUUAUUUAUCUUAUGCAAAAAUGCUGGGUAUGGUUGUUGUGAAUUAGUCUUCUGAGCUAAUGGUCUUAGAUCUUUUUUAUUCUGUUUGCUACACUCUCAUACAUAACCACCACUACCCUUAGGCCAUAUCACACUGAUCUCAGGAAUGCUCUUUAGCCCUCAGCCUUGAUUACAGGCAGUUCAGCUGCCCUUGACUUUAUCAGAAACACUCUGCUGCCAAAACUUCUUCUUUUGCUGAUACCUUCUUGGUGAUUAUUUAAGUGACCUAAAGUAUUUGCAGCAUGGCACUCACAAAUUCUUGAAGAAAAUCCCACAAAUUAUUGCAGUUCUCAAUACCUUUCGUUUGGAUCAUGACAUUGCCUUGUGUUGCAUCAUUUUCUUAAUGUUACAUGUUACAUGUUACAUGUUACAUGUUACAUGUUACCUGUGCUUUUUGGUGGUUGAAUAAUUGUAACUUGAAUCGUUGCAUAUUGCCCUGCUUCAAAAUUGUUUACUGUUUCUGUUUAGAUUUUGAAGGAAUAUUUCCAGUGUCAGAAGACAGCCCAUAUUUCACAAGCUGUGAAAGCAAAUAAGCAGUCUCUUAUGUUAAGAACAAAUGAGCUGGUUUUUGCAAGUUUGAGCAGGCUUACUCACUCUAUGUUAGUCAAAAAAUAGUUUAGUUGUAAGUGCUUUGUUUUUAUCUUUCUUUUCACUACGUACUUAAAAACAUCCUGUACGUGUCCUAUUUCAGAAUAAGUGAGGUUCUCCUCAUUUGUAUUUUAAUUUUCUUUUCCUGACUUGCUGAAAGCUGCAGCAAACAUCAAAUACUUUGGAAUAAGUUCAUAAGAUCUGCACUUUUAAAUGUUUUGUAAAAAUGAAAUAAUAUUUAAGCUGCCUAAAUAUUUUUAAGCAGUUCCUUAAGAGAUAGAUGACUUUUCUUUCUCUCUCAUGCAAAUUAUUUAUUUUUAGUUUCCAUGUUUUAUUUCUGGUCUAUCUUGUGGUCAGAAGUGACUCAAAAAUAGUCUGUUCUAGAAUGGUUUAAGACUAGCACAGUUUAAGACAAGUUUCACUAUAACAAAACAGUUCUAAGUAGCUCUCACUGUAGUCUCCUAAACAUUCAAAUGAUUCCCCACCAUUUCCACAACAAUUUGUUAAUGAAAAUUUAUCAUUUAGACUUCCAUAUCUGUCCAUUCUCUUAAACUCUCUUAAAAGUGAUCUUUCAUCGUGUACAGUGUAUUCACCUAACUGCAUUUCUCUAUACUCAAAAGGGGAAGCUUCUGUGUUCUACCUAUUUUAAGAUAUAAUUUAUUUUUAAAUUUUGCAAAUGUCUCUUUAAUAUCUUUUCUAAAUGAAUAAUAAAUAUAAUUUUGAUGCUUUGUAUAUAUGACUGAUUUAGUAAGCAUAGAGUUUUUUGUCAAAAUAAGAGAGGUGGAGUUGGAGCCUUCUACAUAGUACUCCAAGGGACAAGAGACAGGAUACACUAUUCCCUACAUUGAUUACAGCUGAUAAUGUCUAUUACUGCAAUGAAUUUUCAGUAAUAAUACAACUCUUAUGUCUAAAUUGCAGUGCGUGAGAUAUAUCAAAAUAACUUGAUUUCCUCAAAACACUAGGUAAAUAUAUUCUAUAUUUUCUUUAAGAUAUUUAUUGCUUAGUGAGACUGUACUAGAUUUCAUUUACCUGUGCUUAUAUUCCUCAAACUCCUAGGAAAGCACAAAUCAUGCCACUUCUCCUAAGUAUAUUUUAAUAUACUUUAGUGGGUCUGUGUUGUUACCAAAUUUCCUGCUAACAGAAAUCACUCCAAUCCUGCUACUGAAAAUCUCUAUAAAGUAUAAUUGUAACAAGUCUAUCAGUUUAUCUUUGUUGGGCAAGUAAUCAAGGAUGGCAGACUGUGGCAGUCCAAAUUCAGCCCAUUACAGCCAUUCAACACCUUACUUCAUGGCCAAAAUAAUAGAAAAUGCAAUAGUACAGCUGAUAAGUGUUUAUAUAUCAAAGCAGAAAUAGUGAGGAAAACAGAUUUGGGAAGUGCUUUCAAAUUUUUUUAGGGAAACAGAUAUUAUUCCUGUAUUAAUAUUAAAGGUUUUAUAUGGUUUUGAACUGGCAAACUGAAUCAUUCAACACAAGAAUAAGCAGGUUGCAUUUGAUAUAGUUUUGCUUCACAGGUCACCACUUAUAUUAAUUAAUUUCAAAAUUGAACAUGUGAGGAGAAAUAUUGUGAAAAAAGACUGAAGUUUUCCCUUUGUGACCAAAAAAAAGGAAGAAAAAUAUUUGAAUUAAUUUUACAAAAAGAGACUAUGACUGGUUUUCCAAAGUAUUUGUAUGCAUAUGUUUUACAAGGCAGUGCAGAACAAUGACCAAGUUUAGGGACUCCUCACAGAAUCCCAAAAUGGUCGAGGUCAGAAGGGACCUCUGGAGGUCAUUUGGUCUAACUGCCCUGCUCAAGGAGGGAUACCUAGAGCUGGCUGGGAAGGUUUGUGUACAGACAGCCUUUGAAUGUCUCCAAGGAUGAAAACUCCACACCCUCCCUUUGCAGCCUGUGCCAGUGCUCAGUCACCCUAACAGUAAAAAUUUGUGACAUCCAGACAGGGUGACCUCUGUUUCAGUUUGUGCCCAUUGGCUCUGGUACUGUCACUGAAAAGAUGCAGGCUCUGUUAUGCUCUGUGUUCUCUCAGGUAUUUAUACACAUUGAUAAGAUUGCCCCUGAGUCUUCUCUUUUCUGUGGUAAAUAGCUUUUCUUUUUCCACCUUUGUGGCUCUUCAUUGGACUCUCUCCAGUAUGUCCAUGCUUCUCUCGUACAAGGGACGCCCAGAACUGGACACACCACUCCAGCUGUGGCUGAGUAGAGGAGGAUUAUCUUUGUCAACCUGCUGGUAAUACUUUAUAUAAUGAAGGCCAGGUGUACCAGUACCCCCAGGUCUUUUUUGCCAAGUGCCUUCCUAGAUGGCUAGCUCCCAUCAGAUAUUGACACCUUAGGUUUUUCCUCCUCAGGUUCAGAACUUUGCAAUUCCCCUUGCUCACCUUCAUGAGAUUCUUUUCAGCCCAUUUCUCCAGUGAAUCCAGGCCCCUCUGGAUGGCAGCAUGACCCUCUGGGGUAUCAAUCAAUCCAGAGAUAGACAUAACUAGGAUGAAAAAAUAAAACCCAGAAUAUUAUCUGACACUUUAUUCUGUUAAUUUGGAAAAUGCACAUAGUCUUGUAUAAAAUAGAUUAAUUGGAAGAAAGAAGAAAAGGACAUAGAAAAGAGACAGAUAUCAUAAGGAAUGGUGUUAUAUGAAGCAAACACAUUGCAUAAAUAAGGGUUUUUAUUAGAUAUGAAAAAACAGUGCAAGAAAAUAGGUUCUCAAAGUGUUGAAAGAAAAUUCCUUUGAGACAAGUCCAAAGAAAAAAAGAAGUCUGAGAUCAGAAGCUAGGGUUCUUAGUGCUAACAAUGAUGAAGACUAAAACAAUAAAUGAAUUAAAAUGUUACAAUUACAAUACUGGCUGGAAGGUAGACAAGGAGUCAGAUGAACUAUUGAAGGACAAGAGUGAGAUGUUAAUGACAAAUGAGGUUCAUAUUGCCAAGAGGCUGAAUGAAUCCUUUGCUAGUGUAUGCAUGAAAGAAUUUGAAGGUCAUAUUCCACAGCCUGGGAUAAAUUUUCCUGGUGAAGCAAGUGAAAUACUAAAAGGCUUUAUGGUCACAAUGAAGCAGGGAGUAAGGAAAUUAGACCUAUUAAAACUGACAUAGUACCAGGCCAGGAUAAAUUACAUCCUGAACAUCUUCAUGAAACUCUGUAACAAGCAGCAGGAGCAUUUCUGGAUUAGGUAUUUGUCUGAAUAUGAGAAAGGAAAAGACCAAGCGAUUCACCGCAAGCAGCUAAUUUAUCACUUAAGUAAAGGACGUAGAUGUUACAUAAGUACUACCAAUCAAAGCUAAAUAUUAAUUGAUCUAAUGUUCUGGAAACAUUGAUAGAAGAAAUACUUAAUCAUAAGAAAUUGCAACUUAUAGAAAUUUCUCAGUACAGCAAUAAAUAUGUGGAAACAGAAAGGCAUAACUAUUAUCUCUGGAUGUUGUUUUAAUCAGUGUUAUUCUGAGAGAUUGGGAAAUAAAUGGCUAACUUAUUUGUCAAAUAUCAAAAAAAUAUGUAUUUAUACUUUGGUCUGUUCAGUGAAAAGGCUACUUUAAUCAGUCUAAUUAAGUGGCCACUGGAAUAUCAGUUGCAGCAAUAAAGGCAGACAGAUAUACUGACCAAAGUACUGACUGUACUUUGUUUUGUACAACCAAAUUCAGAGGUGAGUUCUGGGUUGAAUUAAUCUUGUUAAGGUUCUGAGCCACAGACCUUAUUAUUAAGACAUUUGAUUUAAUAGGGUAGGUGUGUGGUCUUUUGUGUGUGUGCAAAUGUAGGUACAUGAUCUGUGUGCAUAAUAUGUGUAACAAUUUGCAUUUAUUCUUUUAAGUUUCAUACAUACAUUCUUGAUAAAUUGUUAUAUUUUAUGUUUUUCUAAUGACGUACAUUUAUUCAAUGAUUAAUGUAAGUGCUAAGAAAGUUUUCAGCAGUAGAGCCCCUCUAGAACUUUCCGACCAUGACAUCAUUAGGUUGAUAGUAUUAGCAUCAGUGGCAUGAUAUGUAUGGAAAUUAUCAGGUACACAGGAGAAGGACACUUGUGAUAAACUAUUCCGUUUUACUUGUCAAUGGGCACACUGUAUGGCAGAAGAAUUUAAAGAUCUAGAAACCAGCGUUUCAUGACUAUGAUGAAGUAUCAUGCAGGGUGAUGAAACAUAGCAGAUUCCAAACAUUUCUGAAAGACUAGCAAGGCAUGGGAAGUCAGGAAGAAGGAAGAAGAAAAGAAGGAAGAAAGCAAGCAAUCAGGAGGUGAUUCAAAACCAGAUGCAAUGGUAAGAUGUUGGUCAAAUACAAAAGCCUGAAAUUUGGAUACAGGUUAGGAUUGGGACUGUCUUUUGUGUUACUGAGGUUACAUGGAUUGAUUGUGGAGGAAGGUUUAUAUCUAUGUAAAAUAGCAUUUGUGACAAAAUAUUAACAUAUUUAUUUAAAGAUAUUUUAGGUAGAGAAGAUAGAGAUAAUGAUUUUUUAAAUUCUGGAUGUGCCAAAAGUCAUAUUAAAAAAGAGCCUGUAAGAUGUAGCACUAAGAAUGCUAAUGAACAAUGAACAGACAAGACGCCCAACAAGAUUUCCAGCCAAUUAUAAAGGAAAUAGGUAGAAAUGCAAUAGGGAGAAAAAUUUAGAGAAAAAUCAGUGAAGGCUCCUUUGUACAUUUCUGACCUUUAAUUCUGUUCCUGGAGAUGAUUUGCAGCCUAAAUAAUUAACGUGAAACAUCUCAGUUUAUGAGUCAGCUCCAUCUAUUGAAUAGCCAUAAUCUUAAACCAUUUCCAGAUUUCAGGCCAGUACAAUGUGGUCAUCCCAAUAAUAAAUAUGUAAUUAGUAAGUAUCUCCACAUUUAGGUGAUGAAAGAUGCUUCAGGUGUAAAAAGUGAAGACUAGUUUAAAGAUGAAGCAAAGAUCAGGCUCAUCUUAGAAACAGAAAGCUAGACUGAGUCAGCCUUCGGCUAGUGUAGACAGAGUAGAGUAGAAAUGAGAAAUAGAUGGGUGCUUAAAAUCUAAGCUGCCUGAGAGAAAGAAACUAACCUUUAAAAAGAUCUCAUUCCCAUUUUCUUCAUAUAAACCAGCCUGGAGAUGCAUGUUAUAUGUCCCUGGUAACUUUUUCAUUUUAUACUCAAUUAUCUAGAAGUGCUUGAUUUCUUUCAAAUUGAAAACCCCAAACUAUUACUUUUGAAAAAAAAAAAAAUUGUAAUAUCAAAACAAAAGCACAAAACCACCAUGUGACACAUCAGUUGCAAUUUGUGUUUCCCUUUGUUGUGUAAAAAUGAGUAAUUGAAUAUUUGCUUGUUAAUUGCAUUGUGUGCUGAGAAUGUUCUUGGUACAUUCUUGUAGAAUUAUGUUUCUAAGUUACUUUUAUUUACUAGUACAGCUAUAUUGUUGAUGCAUUUGAGCACAAGUUCAAGCCAACAACACAUAUUCAUAGCAAGACUCACAAUAAAGCUGAGGAGAUUUUUAAAUGUUGCAACCUCUCUUUUUUUUUAAAACAUUUCAUUAUCAUAAAAAUUUUUAUCAUUCAAUUAGCUACUAAAAUAUAUUUUCUCAGAUGACAACAUAUUUAUAUUAAGUUCUGAAAAAUAAUUAAAUCUAUUUAAUUGUUUUAAAUGUAACCCAUUUUAAUUGUUUUUCACAAUAUUUCAGUAGGGGUGUUUUGCAUAAUUAUUUCUCCUAUUGACUAAAGUCUAAAGAAUCCUUUUUUGAAAUUUCUACUAUUAACAGAAAAAUAUGUGUUGUGAUGAUGCAUUGAAAAAAGAGAAAAAAGAAACAAGGUGUUGCUUCAACCUGAAAUAGUAGAGUUUCAUUUUAAGAAAUGAUAGAGCCAUUAUUUGAAAGCCUCAGUUAAAGCUAAUUAGACAGAAACUGAACCACACAAUUUUUCCUGUUUAUGCCAUCGUAUUAUUUUCUUUUUCUUAAAGUAAAACUUGAAUUACUCUGGAAAUUAUCUUUUUCGAUCACAGAAGCCUUGAGCUGUAACACAACUUGCUGCAUUGUGUUGAGUUUGUUCAAUUUUUUAAGUGGUUUAGUCUUGCACCCCCAUGUAAGUGGUCCUGCUCUCCCUUGCCUCCUCCUAUCCCUAUGUCAAUCCUCCUUUCUCUCCUACACUGAAAUGCAGCCCUUCUGAGGACCCCGCCCCUGGACCUGGCCAUCACUUGGCAGCCCUUUCUUUCUUUCUGGAAGGUUCCACCUGGAACAUCGAGUGAUAGUCUGAACAGCCAGGUCUCCUCCUACCCCCUUUCCCCGUUGGUGUUCCUUCAUGUUUGUCACCCUGAUUUCCACACCCCUGUUUGAUAUCAUUGGCCCACUGUAGGGCCAUCCCCUGGUUACCACCCACUGCUAUAAGCCUGUGCAAGAGGCUGCACGCGGCUCUUGCAGGCUGUUUACCCUGUGACCGAGGUAGCUCUUUUGAGCUGCCAAAUAAAGUUGGAUUACAAACCCCUGCAGGAGACGACUCCUUGCCUUUGUCAUCAUCGCCAAGGUCUCCCUGGGGCUCAGGAAUUCCGAACCCAAAGCCGCCGUCCUUACCUCCUGAGGUUUGGGAAGGUGGCCAAUGCUGACCUCGGUGUCCAGCUGAGCUGGGCAAGCAUUUCCAGGACAGACGCCAUGGCAGCAACAGAAUUUUCCUUAAUAUAAAAGUUUUGGAUUAGCGGCCAUUUCAAUAUCACUAGAUGUCUGACAAGAGUUUAUUUUUAAACAUGUGCAUAAUGUGUUAGGCUGAAAAUUAAAGGCUUCUAAUAAAAUUGAAUGUUGAUUUACUUUAAGAGAUUCUGAAUUAACUCAUUUGUGCUUAAAGACAUAUCUGUUUGUAUUUAAAGACCUGUAGAACUUUGCAGAGCAUCCUGUAGCUACAAUAUGGAGAGCUCUAAAUUGCCUAUAAAAUUAGUUAAUGAAAAAAGUAAGGGCAUACAUGAAUAUGUAGCAUUUAAAUGACAAUAUUUAAACAAACCAUGGCAUAUGUCUUCAAAAUUUAUCGUCCUGUGCGUUUUACUUACAGUAGUAGAAGUCAGAAAAAUGUGAACAUAGUGAAGAUUAAAGUUAAAUAUAUAUUAAUGUAUUCCUUCAGAAAGUACCUAGGUUUUAAAAUCUUUUUUCCUUCUGGUCCAGCCUGUGAAAACUUGGGUCAGUUCUCAUGUAUUGAGAUAAGCUAAUUUACUCUUUACAAAAACACCAGUCUCAAAUAUUUUAAAAAACUGCUUCUGGAAGUAGCAAUGCAAGAACUUUUUGAACCAAACAUAUUAGUCAGCUAGUGAAAAAUGUAGAAAUAACUUUAUUGCACUACAAUAGCUUUCUGUUCUGCUCAAUUUUCAGGUUUUAUUCCCAUCCCCUUUGGUUCUUUGUAUUGGCUAAUACAUUUUCUGAGAAUUUCCUUAUUUAAAACAAAUUUUUUAUCCAGACCCCGUUUAGAAUAGUGUUCUUGUCAUAAACUGAUUCACAAUUACAAUACAACUCUCAUCAUCAUUCUGUCUUGUUUUAGUGUGAUGAACCUAUUUUUGUUGUGGUUACCUUGUCAUUCUUCCAAAGUCUGAUUCCUUUAAUUCUAUGUGGAAAAAAUGUUUAUAGUGAUGUAUCAGCAUGAUACAUUUUUUAUUAUGUAUGACUCUAAAACUUAUUCUUUGACCCCUUAUGUUCUGAGAGAAGAAAGAAAUCCUUCAUAACCCUAAUGAAUUUAGGAAGAAUGGAGGACUAAAUCUUAUGGUAAAGUCUGUUCCUUAAAUUGCAUGUACAGUCUCCUAUAUAUAUCCAUUCUUCUUUGUCAUCCUUACCAGAGAAGAGGUCCUACAGACAUUGCAAAAACCAAACAGAAAACUCAAGCUUUUAUGAAAGCAAAUAUCUUAGUAGAAUCUGAAAAAAUUCCCACCAAUCAUUGCACAGAAGUAGCAGACACCUGUAAUACACUUUGAAAUGUAGGUAUAAUUUAUGAUUUGAAAUAGUGGUUCAUGCUGAGGGGCAAGAAUUCACUGAACCACAGAUUCCUUUUCCAAAAUAGAGUUUGUUUGUACCUGCUUUAUCAGCAGAGGUUUUAAUCUUCUCUAAAAUUGUGCAGUCCUCUCCACAAUGGCAGAAAUCGUGUCCUCUUCUGUCUAGGGAUAACUUUACAAGGUCUGGUCCUGUUCAAUCAGUAGCAUUAUGGCAAUAUGGAAGAAGAGAAUCUCCUGCUUUGUGAUUAAUAAUAGAGGAAGCAAAAAAAAGAUAUCUGCUCUCAAGAAACCAUGGAUGUUUUGAAGCAGUAGAAAGAAAAUAUGCAGAAAGGUACAGAAGCAGUAGAAAGAAAAGAUGCUACCUGAUACUGGGUUCAGGGUGUGCUGAAGGUUUUCAGUCCUUAGUGUGCAUAAAUCCGUCAGGCUGUGGAGCACUUUCUGUCAAGCAUUUCUUGUAUAUUCACAUCAGCUAUGUCACUGUCAGCAGAAAAGAAAAUGCAAAAGUGCAGUUCAGGUGAAAUCAACAUAUUUUACUUGGUCUUGUAUUAAAACUGUGAGAUUUAGACUGCUUUAGAAAAAGGUCAAAAAGCAUCACUAUUUGAAGAAACAACACGUGGGCAAUCUGGAGGUAUGAAUGAUUGAAGAAAUUAAGACUUCACUAAAUAGUAUUUUAAAAGCAAAGAAUUUUUGAAGAAAAAUCUAUAAGGAUUUAAAUAUAUAUAAUUAAAGAUUUAGGAAAAAGAAACAGAAAAGAAUUCCAGAAUAAUUUAUUUGAAACAGCUCACUAUGUGAAAUGUUCACUUGUGACUUGUUUAAUGUUCCAUCUAUACCUUGUAUAUCCCUAUGGUAUGCAAAGGAUUAAAACAACAGAGAAGAAAAGGUAAAGUUUAUCCCAGGUUUUUGCAGUGGGUUGAUCCUGGCUGGAUGCCAGACACCCACCAAAGCCUCUCAAUCAUUUCCCUCGUCAACUGGACAUGGAGAAAAUAUAGAAAAAGCUCAAGAGUUAAGGAUCAUGUGAGAGAUCACUCACUGAAUACCAUCAUGGGAAAAACAAAUUUGAAUUGGGGAAAUUACCUGAAUCAAAAUCUGAGCAAGAUAACUGAAACAAAAUCUUAAAAACUCAUUAUUCCCACCUCUCCCUGGUUUCUACCUCCCCCCAGCAGCACAGGGAGACUGGGAAUGGGGUCAGUUCAUCACUGACAGGUUGUCUCUGCUGCUGCUGUCUCCUUCUUUCAUUUCAGGUUUUAAUAGUUGUGGUAAAUGCAUAAUUUUUAAAAUGUAGACUUGACUGAGUUAAUUUCAGAUUGUGUCAUCUAUCUUUUAAAAAGAUUGAAAUAGCUGGAAAUAUUUAAUGAUUAUAUUUUAUACCUUUCUUUCCUUGAAUAUUCAUCUGAAAAAAACAAUACCUACAAAUAUGUUAUAUCUUGUCACAAAGGUAAUUCCACAAAACUGGAACACUGCAACAUAAAAGAAAGAACUAGAUUUAUAUCACUGCUUAAGAAAACACUUUUCUACUUAAUGGCUCCAAGCAAUUUCUCUUUUUCAAGGAAGUUUGUAGUAAUACAUAUACACAUUUAAAAAUUCUCUAUAGUCCAGGGGACAAAAAAAAAAAAAAGCUGAGAAAAGUAAGCCUAAGAGGCUAUGCUGAUGUUAUUUUUAUUGUUAUAUGUUCAAGAAGGUGUUUUCUGUCCUUUAAUAACAUUCUGCAUUUAUGGAUUUAGUUCCUAUUAUCUACAUCUACUGACAGAAAAUCCAGAGUAUUUUUAUUUUUUAAGCUUUAUAAUACCUGGGAAAGAAAUAAACUGAAAGAAUGGGAGACAAAAAGAAUGUCUAUUAAAAUAUUUGACUGCAAUCUUUUAUGAAGAGAUGUGAAUUUUCACUAGUUCAAACACAAUGUUCAUGCCUUGCACCAUCAGAGUUAAAAGGAAUUAAGCAUUCAGAGGAAAAGAAAGAUUUUAUUUUGGCAAGGCUGUUGAGGUUUUUAAUUUCUUUUAUAAAGUGUGAGUGCCCUGAAACUACUCAUUUGGACUCACAGAGAAGAUAGAGCACCUUUACAGUGGAAGUUAUGUGAUUCUAGUGAUCUGUGUGACCAACAGCCUCCCUCACUGUAUCUGUCUCUUUGUAUCUCUUAAGCAAUCCCUAUUUUCUCUGUCUUUCAAACAGCAUUAAAAGAUAACCUUUUUAUUCAUUGACAUUACUGCUAGUGAUGAAGUUACAGGUUUGAGAGUCCCACUGACUGGUCAAGUAUUCAUUUGAAAAGAGUCUGAAAUUCUAGUUAGUACGUCAACUCUUUAUGUUAUUCUGUAAGACUGUGGUCAAUUGAUUGAAAGUAGAUCAAUAAAGGUCUGUGGAAUUUCAAAGAGUUUGCAAGGAAGCAAACUAAUUGUGUAGAACUGCUUCAUUAAAAAAAAAUUACUGAGUGAUAGCAUACCUCUUUCUAGGUACAACUCACCAAGAUAAAGGAAUUCUUAUGAUAUAGAUAGCAAAAUAUUACAGAAAAGUAACCUGUUCUUGUACAGUGCAAUCAACAGAUAUAUGUAUCUUAAACUUACUCUUAUUCUGUACUUUUUACAUUCACUAAGGCUCUGCAAAAUUCCUAAAAUAAAAGCCAGUAGUUAGAGAUCUAUGUUGAGGUUCUUCCCUCCCACACAAAAGAGCAUUUCCUAUUAUUUUACUGACUUGAAGUACUUGUCCUGGAAGUACUAUAAAACAUUUUACCAAAAACAUAGGUUUUUCAGGGCUGUAAAUGAAUUUAAUGUCCUUUUUAGCCUAAAAUCUUAGAGAGAACACAGGCAUGGAGAGACAAAGUCAUGAGAAAAUAAUCUAAUCCUCCUCAGCUCAUUCAAUGAAACUGAAGCAGAAAGAUAAAAUGAUCUAGUUAAGCAUUUUGCCUUGAACUUCACUGGGGAGAAACAACCAACCAAAAUAAACAGGCCUUUCUGGAUCCAUAAUCUGACCUGGAUCCACCUAUCUAGAAGAGGAAGGAGCGUUUUAGCUGGCAGAUUGGCUUACUUAGUGAUUCACACCUUAAACUAACAAGGAUAAUCUCUUAAUUCAUGUGGUACAGCCUGAUCAGAAAAAUAUUGUUAGCUCUGUGCUUGCCAAUUUUCAAGAAGUAAUUACAGAGGUUAAGACUGAUGGCAAUGUGGCCUGCAGUGAUCAUGCCCUGACCGUAAAAAUGGUCAGAGAACUGGAAAAGUUCUCCUAAGAAAACUCAAAGGAGUUGAAGUUUUUCUUAACUGGAGAGGAGAAGGGUUUGGGAAUAUUUCAUUGCAGCCUUUCAGUAUAUAAAGGGAGCUUAAAAAGAUGGAGAGAGAACAUUUUUACCAAGCCCUGUAGUGACAGGAUAAGGGAAAAGAGUAUUAAACUGAAAGGGGUUGGAGAUAAGGAAGAAAUGUUUUACAGUGAGGGUGGUGAGACAUUGGAACACAUUGUUCAGGAAAGUUUGGGAUGUUCCAUCAUGUUCAUCCCACGGGGUUUCAGUGAUCCAGAGUUUCAGGAUCCAGCUUUCCAGUUACACAGUGGUUUCCUGCUUCUUGUGUUGGCAGCAAUCAUGCAACUUUAAAGAAACUGAUUACACAUAAAUGCAACCAUACAUAUAAAGCUAUAGGACUAGAGAUCAACAUUUUCCCUGAUCCAGACUUCUCUAUCAAAAUCCAGUCUGAAUAGAGACGACUUGAUAUCUACAAAUUCCAUAUGACCCUCUAGCUAGAGACCAUCCUGCACUAAGAUAUUUCAGUCUUCUUUUUCGAAGUGUUAACUAUUUUACUGGUGAAGAAAACAAUCAAAUUAUUUUGGAAUGGAAAGAGAAGCAAUAAAUGAUAUGAUGUAACAUAAUAAUUUAUAUACUGGUCUUGUAUCCAAGUCACUCUCCUAGAUGCAUAAAAUAAUAGAAUACUUUGUGUUGGAAGGAAGAUCAAGAUCACUUAGUUCCAGAGACACAUAUCACUAGAACAGGUUGCUCAACACCACAUCCAACCUGGCCUUAAACACUUCCAGGGAUGGGACAUCAACAGCUUCUCUGGUCAACAAUUUGUAAGUGAUAUACAAAAACAGCACUCAUAAUGCAAGGAAAAUUAUUCUGGACUUCCCUCUCCAACUGCUUGAGCUAUACAUUUUCUAGAAAUCUUAUUUCCCUUUUCUGGUCUAAUUUACUUUAUUUUCUCUUACUUUGUGAAGAUGAUGUGAUUGAUACCUGUGAUAUCAUCAUAUGAAAUAUCUUAGUGGUUAGGACAUUUUCUAGGGAAAAAACACUUUACAUAAAGAGUAUGUGCAAAAUUAUGUCUAAAUAUUAAAAAUAUUUUUGUUUUCUGGGAACAUUGUGAGGAAACAAAAAUCACCUCAGAAAAUGUUCCAAGGAAAUUAAUAAAAGUAACCGCAAACAAGGUAUAUUUUUGUGGUUUUUAACUGAAAAAAAAAAAAAAGCAAAAAAAAAAGAGUGUUUUACAAUGUCUCUAAACUCUUCUCAUAACUCUGAAAAUAUUACUUUUGUUGAAAAUCCCUUCUCUAUUUCAUUUUUUCUGUCAUAACAUCUAAUAUUUUAUAAAAUUUUGAAGAUGUAUUGUCUGUGUAACUGUAUGGUACAUUUUCCAAAAUGCAAAGUAGAUCACUGUACCAUAUAGCUGAAUUGAAGGAUUCAGAUUAGAAUCAGAUAAAAUGCACUUACUUGAACAAGCUAGUAAUUACACUGAAUCAUGUAAUGUGUCUCUAGAGCUACUCUAUUCUAGUUUGCUUAAAGAGCAGCUGACUCCGAAAGCACUGUUUACAAGCUAUUCUGUUCCCAUAUUAUAUAUUUUUCAAUAUUUAUCUUCCAUUGUUCCUUACUACUAGGAGCAUUUGCAUGAAAACAGGAUCUUUGUUUUUUGGGAGUGCAUCUGCUACUGCUGCUGAUUCUCAGCCUGAAGUCAUAAUCCAAUGUUUGAGACAUCAGCCUUACAUUUAAAGGAACCAGAUGAAUUGUCAUUAUAAAAAAAGUGCAAAAACACCCUCAGAUUCUGUCUUCAGAUGUAGUUUAAAAGGAGAACUCUCAACCAUGAAACCUAUUUCCUUACAAGUGCACAUAAUGAUGCACAGCUAGGAAAACAGUAAGAAUCAGCAGCUUCGUUGAAAGGUAUGAAUGUACUCCAGGGAGUUAGGGAACUAGACUGCAGAAAGUGGUUUUGCUAUGGUAAUACCACCUAUGCCUCUUAAGUUUUCUAAUGUCUUCAAAUCCUAUGCUGAUUUUACCUUAAUAUGUGAAUUUCUUACUCAGACAAAUUCUCAUUUACCAUGCAGGAUACCAGCACAGAUAGUGUCAUGACUCUGAGAGGACUAGAGAAUUUGAAAUCCAGAAAAGGUGCUUUCAAAAACCCGAUAUUUUUACAGUUGGCUUUGACAGAACAUAGAUUUAUAUUUGGAUUCAGAGUGUUUCUGAUUGUGACUAAUAGACUGGAAAUACUAUUACAGAUGCUGAAAGAAACAUUUGAAUAAAAAUGCGUGGGGUUUCUUUAAUAUUAAAAAAAAAAAAGAUAAAAGAAAAAUAAUUGUAAGUGUUUAUGUUAUUUAAACUCUCUCUCUACUUGACACCAAGGGCUGGUACCUGCUAAGGACAAUUUGACAUUACUACAGCUUCUCUGUCUCUUAUCAAUUCUCACAGAAACAUAGGUAAUUAGCUUAGGGAACUUAGCUUUUUAUUAACUGAUGUCUGGUGAGGGAAGUCACAUCCCAAGUAAUAAACACAAGAUGCAGCCUUGGAAAUAGAACUGUUUUCCAUAUUUUCAUGAUACCAUCAAAAGAGCUGUGUGUGAAUAUAUUUUGUGGGCCAAGAGAUUACAGCUGUACAUACAUAAGUCUAGAGAGAAUGCAAAUAUGUGGGUAAAUACAUAAAUAAUAUUAGGCAGAAGGCUAAUAAAUUGAUGAUUUCUUUGUCAUUGCUGUUUUCCAUGCAUUUAUAUUGAGGAGGAGCUGAACAUUCAAAACCCUAAAAUAUUUAGUCUGAAAUUAUUUAAAUUUUAUUACGAUGGCAGGGUGUCUCAAACAAUAGCAAUUGGAUUUCUUCCUGUCUAUAUCACUUGGUUUCCAUUCUCCAGUUAGAUUAAAUUUUCAGGUGGAUUAAGAGAAUGAAACAUGGCCCAUUAUUAUUGUAGUUUCAAACUUGUCUACAUUGGUCAGAGCAAAUAUAUUCCAGCUAGCAAAUGUGCAGGGAAAACCAGCCUGGGAGAUAGUAUGAGGUUUUAAAUUGAAAAACCAUACUAGUUAUUCAGAAAGCAUUUCUAAAACUAUAUUCUGUGACUUAGAACAAAUUGCAAUUCUGCUGAGAUUUUCUUUCAAUCAUGGUUGACUUUACCAAACUAAAAUUUAAGUCUGCAUUCAGGCAGAGUGUUUUGGUUUCAUAACCAUCUAUAAUUUCACUGCUGUUGACUCGUCUGAACAAGGAUUGUAAAGAGGAACCUAAAGCUGCUAUCAUCUGUCUUCAUUUCAUCCUUUGUCUUUUGCAUUUCAGCUAUGUUCAUCCUCCUUUCUUCUCUCUUCUAACUUGGUUUGCCUUAUUUCUCAGCAAUGUGAUAUUACUUGCAAUUUGGGGAUGCAGUUCCAAGGGAUUUUCCUGCUGGCAUUUAAAAAAGCAAGAAGGAAGGAACUAGUGAAAUGUAUGAAAACCUGAGAGACACUUUAGUGUACUGUAGAGAAUUUAUGUGGACUUUCUGUUACUGAGUGACUGCAUUAAAUGUUUGACACGUACUUGUUUGGGAAAAAAACAAAGCUAACAGCCUUUGUCAUAUAUCAAAAGCCUUUCUAUAUCAAACUUAAAUUAUACCCUCUAUAGUAUAUGGUCUGGCAGUGCCCUGUAAUUUCAUUUAUAAAAGAAACAUCUCUAGGCUUAAAAAUAACAAUUUCUACACCAGCCCUUCAUGUAAAUGUCAGAGAUGGAUUUCUAUCAGUGUUCCAAAUACUUAGAUAUGUAUUAGUAUAUAUCGUUGAAAACAAAGAAACAGCAGCUCAAUCAAUUCUCAAUUUGUUAUUGCUUAUGUGUCUUGCUUAGGACAUUGCUUUUUGUUCAGAUUUUAUUUUUCUUCAGGUACAGGAACUAAUAAAUUUUGUCUUUAAUUUCAGGUUUAGAACUGACAGCUCCAUCAAACGGAUUUUCUAAGAGAGAUUAAUGACUUUCAUGAAUACACAGUGGACAUCCAAACUGCUUUAUUAGUUCUCUUUUUCUUUAUCUAAUAACUAAUGGAUAUUUUCUUUCAUAUGCUAAUUAAAAAUUAUUUUUUAUCCACUGUGUUACCAGUUUUCAAGCAACCUGAGUUUUGAGUUUAUCUUAAAGAUCACUUUGUUGGGGUUUUAUAUAAGAUCCUAGUCAAUUAUACUUUGCUUUCUAGAGCAAAUUUCUUAUGGUCCAGUAUUAAAACACAUACUUAUAAUAGAUAGACUAUAAUUUCCUUCUUACAUGUAAGCUGAAAACAGGUUCAAUUACUAAGUCUGGGUUUGGGCUUGUAAGGUUGAGUCUUCCAAUUAAUUUACAGCAUUUUGGUAGCACUAACUUAACACAGUUUACAAGCAGUCUCAAAUAUCUCAAUUAGGUUGGUGAGGAUGUUUUAUAUUCUCAGAAAUGUCUUUUCUUCCUGGAUUUCCAACAAUGCAUUUAAAAAUAUCUAAUUAAAUGAUACAUAAGAAUAAUUUACUUUCUGAUUUAUUUUUACAUAAUAAAACAGUAUGACUUUAAUAGAAUUUUAUACUUACAUAUGUUGACAUAAUUAGAAUUUAUAUUUUGAAAAAUAAAUACAAUGGAAUUAUGUAUUAUUUAAUAGAAAAUAUAUUUAAUAUUUUGCAAAAUGUUAUAUUUUAAUUAAAUAUUUUUAAAAAUAUUUCAUGAAAUAAAUGUUGCAAUUACAAACAUAUUACAUGAGCUUUUGAGAAACAAUUCUGUAUAAAUAGUUUUCCUCCAAACUCUUCCAUCACUCAUUUUUCCUCAUCCUAUUUUUGUAUUUUUCCAAUACAAAGUGAAAGUGCUUUCAGUUCUACCAAUAUUUGCCAAUCAUAUGAUCCAUUUAAGCUUCAUAGUACUGUGUCAGGGUUAUCUCAAGUCCAACAUCAGAAUUCACAUUUCUCUCUUAAAACUCUUAAUUUCUUGUACUUUUCAUAUAUAUCUGAGACAGAACAAAAAUAUGUUUGUGGGAUCAAAGUGAAAAUUAAUUUAAAUUUAAGCAAGGUUUAACUGAUCUACAGCAUGCUUCAAAGAUGUUUGCUGGAUAUCAAUACUUGCUGGCAGUGUGGACAGGAAGGUGAUAAUUUAGCACAUAACUGGCAUUGUCUUUCUAUUUAAAAUGUUAGAAAUUCUAUGAUAUAUUAAGUCAUCACAUGACAUAUCCAUCUUUGCUGUAUUUAGCCUAAAUUCAUGUGAAUGUAGUCUUCUAGUAAAUAGACUGCAAUUGCCCUCAGUUAUGCAAAGCUUUGAGUCAUUUGAAUGCAAGUGCAAUCAUAUUUCUCUAAAAGAAUUGAAUAUUGACAUAUUCUAUACCGUCUAAUUUAUAAAAUUUAAUUUAAGACUAGAGGAUAUGGAGAAAACUAGUUGCUCGUUUGCUUAUUCUGGUUAAGAAUUUAAAAGAAACAUAAUUGAAACAGAAUUUGAAUGCGAAUUGCACACAGACUUGUUAAUGAGGGGCUGCAGGACUAGGAAGCCUUGUUGGCUUGAAUUUGAGUCACUUCUCUGAGUUUUAACCUGUUCUUGUACACAUUUUCUAUAGCUGUUUGGCUUUUUAAACUAGGCCUAAACCCAAACUUUUGAGACUCACACUGAAUGACACCUUACAGCAUAGUUCGUCUCAUUGACAUGAACCUGAAUAAAUUAACUGUAGAAAGGCAACAGAACCUUGUAUGAGUUGUCAGUUUUCAUAAUCUUCUUUUCCCUUCAGUCAUUAAAGCUAGUAGUGGUCUAACAGAAGACUCAAAACUCCUGACAUCAGGAAUGGCUUCAAGCAUCAGCACUUCAUGAUUCCCCAGUACAACCUUUUAUACCCUGUCUCUCAUAUGCAGCACACCUGUGUGCCCUUUUACUCUUUUGUGAUUGGUCAAUGCACCUCAGCAUUCCGGGCUUCUUUUCCUUUAAUGAUGGUCACCUGUUUUACACAGCUCACCCUAUUAAGGACGAGGCUUGGCUGCAGCCCCAUUCCUAAUGUCCCAUAAUUUAUUCUUCUGCAAUGGUCAGUUCCUUAAAUAGAAACAAACAAAUGUAGAUAAUCAGCAAAUUUCUUAGAUAACCACAAACUGAAUUUUCUUAUUUCAUGUAUGCAUUUUUUUCCUUUGAAUAUUUUUUAUGUGUAUGUUUGUAUGAAGCAGUUAGAAUAGUCUUGAAAUAAAUUUUUAUACAAUGAACAACAUCAGGUGAAUAUAGUAAUAUCUAUUCUCUUAGUUUCUUAAUUUUGUAUAUUACUUGAGUAAUGACUAUCCAAUAAUCAUUUCAGGUUCUCAUUCACAUAGUUAUAGUUGUAACUAUCUGAAAAAAUCUCUUACACAUGUUGACAGUGCAUGUAAAUUAUUUUUUACCUACCUUGAUCAGAGUUACAAAACCAGACUCUAUGAGAAAUGAAUAAACAAAUUAUUUCUUUAUCUUCUUAA